GUUUCUUUGCCUCCUGCAGUCUGUGCCUUCCACCAUGAUCAUGAGGCUUCCCCAGCCACACAGAACUGUAAGUCCAAUUAAACCUCUUUCUUUUGUAAAUUGCCCAGUCUCAGGUAUGUCUUUAUCAGGAGCGUGAAAACAGACUGAUAAACCAAAUACCAUGCUUCUCCAAAGCACUCCGCCCCUGGUAUAUUUCCGGGAGAUAAGCCCGUUUUUCAUAUGAGAACAGUGAGCUCCAAGGAGCGGCCUGCCCUUGGCUUCUGUUCCCAGGGCGAGUGUGAAGGCUGAGCUUUUCCGUUCCCUCUUCCAUGGAGCUUGGCUGGUUCCUAUGAACUGCAAGUUAAGGUUUGUUAUUUUAUAGUCCAUUAAACAAUCUUUUAUAAAAAUUAAAAACAAGUUAUAAUGUAAAUGUAAACAAAAAGCUAACGUAAAAAGGUUAAAAAAAUUAUUUUGGUGACUUUUUUUUUCAAGGCCUGAAAGCCGCAAUCAGAUAUUGUUAUAAUUUUAGGUGUCAUAGAUCAUAUCUUACAUUUGUUUUUGUAUUUAUAACUCUGUGGGAUUUACCAAUCUUAGGGCUAUAAUACUUUUUAUAACAUAAGUGGAAGCUGUUUCCCAGGUUUGACUUGUUAGUCUUCUCUUCUGCCGUUAAUUUAUUGGUUUGUUCUACGUAUUUUACAAAAUCCAAACCUUGAGAAACAAGGCUUGACAAUUUAGCUCCAUAUACACUUCAAAACUUAAGAAAUGGGGAGAUGUGUUUCAUUUAUAUUCUUUAUUAUUCAUUUGACUUACAAAGUAUAUAGGCAUGGAAAUUGCCUGUCAGUUUUACUACUGAAAGCCCCAGCUACUCUUACUUAAGAUUAAAGUCAUUCUUUUUAUAAUCACUCACUUUCCUCCAAGAAAAUUCUCUGUGUGGGGGGAAGUUUUCGAUGGAGAAGGAUUCUGUGUGGACUUCCAACCCUUUAACCUAGGUUAUAGUGGGAUGUUAAGUCAGGAAAUGACAUAUCGGGGCAGGAAUCAGUUGUGCUCCCUCCCAAGUCUAUUUUAAAGCACUUUCCAUUUUAAAUAUAGCAAUAAAAUAUCAGCCUCGAAAUGUCUGAUAAGGAUAAAAGCAAUAGAUCCAAAUCCAAUCUAAAUCUGACACUGCUAGGAACAAGAAUUCACAUUGGUAAGUCAGGACUCAUUUAUGGGGCCAUAAAUGGGUGGGCCAGCUAUAAUUUGGGUAUUAAACUUGUAAAAUAUAUUGAUGGUAUGGAAGAGCUAAAUAAAUAAUUUACUACAAAAAAAUUGGAAAUCUUUACAUGGUACUUAAUUGACCAGUUGGUCUCCCAGAUUCUCAGUGCUCCUUGCUUUGCAUUUAUGUGUUUUUCAUAGGCUGGAUUUUCCUUUUCCUCACUUGAGUUUAAUUUCCCUCUGCAAUGAAUGAUCACAAGUUAGUGCAUUUCUGAAAACACACACAGUUUCCAUUUAAAAUUUUGCCAAUCCAUUACAGGCCUUUGACAAUUUCAUUUACCUGUUAGGAGGAUAAAUGUACCCCCACGUUCUGCCUGUUCCAGGAUAAGACAAAUUUCUUUCUGGCCUCAAAAAGCCUUUUCAGUACCACAUCUUAUAUUCCUGUGCUGAGCACAUAAUGGGAGGGGCUUCAAGGAGAUGCUUUACAAAAUUUACUGAAUCUUUUUGCUUGGUAUUUUGGGAAUCUGCUGAAUAGAGAAAAAAAGUGAUUUUAGAAAGAUCUGUCACGGCCUCCUACACAUCUGUGAGGUGCUAAGUGUGGUUGGAGAAGGGAAAGGAGAAUGAAAAUAUGGAAACUCAAAGUAAGACAGUGUUAUUUAUGUAUGUAUCCAGGAAAACAAGAUUUCUUGGACGAUUUUAAAUUUAUUUAAUAGUAACAGUAUCUCAUAUGUGUAUAACAAUUACUUGUUUCCAAAGACUUUCGUAUCUUUUAUUUUUUCACCUCUUGUGAUAUUCCGCCAAAGUAAACAAUAGAGGUAUUACAAUGGCCAGUUUUACUAGAUGAGAAAACUGAGGUUUGGGUAAAUUGGGACUUGCACAAAGUAGUUUAUACAGCAAAUUGGCUGGUGCUUAGAGCCCGAUUCUUCAGAAUCCCAGGUUGACUCUACUGUGAAGGAUCAUUUUGUGCUUUCACUGGCAGGUAAUAGAAAGGCCACCCCAAGCAAGCUUAAAUAAUAAAGAGUUGCAUUGGCUUGUGUAAUGAGAAACCAAGACGGGGUGGGCUUCAGGCUUGGUUCCAUCUAGGUUUUGACUCUGUUUUUCUGCAGUUCUUUCUGUUCUGUGCCCUUCUGGGAGCUGACUUUGGCUUCUGGCUGGUGGUUGGUAGCAAUUGAGGCAGCAUGCCUCCUAGUUCACCCCUACCAGGUUGACAGUCUGAUGUCCCCAUUGUUAUCUCUUAAAAGCAAGGUAGGACUUUCCUGGAAACUUCCAGCAAGAUUUUUCUUUCUCCAGAAUUGGAGUGCAUGACAUCCUCAGUCAGUGACUAGCGUGGACCAUGGGAUUACUUUGAUGAGCUUAGUCUAAUCAAAGCCAAUUCUGAGUGACUGGUUAUUCUGAAGAGGGAAUCUAUCUGAACAAAAGCAGGAUCCUUGUAGGAAGAAAGAGGUGAGAAUGGGUGAUGGGUAGACAAUCAACAGAGUCCUCUACAGUUACUUUGUAAGAUUUCAGUAGGCCACACGUUUGAGGAAAUCCAUGUGUUUGUUAUGGAACAAGGUAGCCAAAGAGACCUUUUUCGUUUGGCCAGAGGGACUGAUGAAACAACUAAAUCCUGGUUGUUUCGCAGUCUCUUAUGCAGCUUCUUGUUUCCCCAGCAGCAUCUGUGCUCUCCCACAUGGCUUCUGCUUGGUCUUCUGCCAGACCCUGGGCUUCUCACAGGCACAAUGGCUGUGCCUUACGCUCAGGAAAGCCAGGGUUUGCCAGAAGCACUCACUCCCCGAGUCCCUAACUUCAUCCUCUCCUAGACCCCAUUUCUGAAGUGAAAGUACACAGAGGAGUUAGUCAUAGAGAGUCUUGUGCAAUUCUAAGAGGGAAAAUGGGUGAGAGUUCAUUGUUUUCCCUGAAGCAAGGCUUGGCAGUCCAAAAUAUUCCCCAAUGUGCUGAAGUUAGUUUACCAGCAAUGUGUUUUUCUUAUACCAAACUGCUGUCCGAGCCACAACCUUGUUGAAAAGAGUAGGGCCAUACAGCUUACACAACUCUAUCUGUCCUCCCCGACAAUUACCUUAUAGAACAGUACGCACUAGGAAACUUUAAAUUUUUUGUCUGGAGAAUCCUUGGUGUUCUAAAUAUGCAAAGCCUUCAUCGCAUCAGGCACCACCUCUUACCCUGAAGACAAGCCACACUCUGGCUGUUAAUCUAGGCCCAGCCAAACACACCAGGGUCUGAUGGGCCAGAUCCCACAGUACAGAGGAUGUAUGCUCAGAGAGCACUGCUUAAAAUGGAGGUCGCUGGAGAUGCUGAGGAGGAGGUGCCCAGCUUCCUUUAAUACCAUCGUGUGUUUUCAAGUGGAAGAUUCAUUUAAGCAGGGGAAAAUACCUUCUCCCUAGGCUUCAGGCCCAGGUAGGUAAUAAAAAGCAAAGAACACAACUCCAAACCCCAAACACUAUGUCUUUUUAAAUGACGUUUGAGGCUUAGUUACUCACGUGUGACUAGCAGGAUUGGUGUCAUAAUUUGCAGGGCUCUGUGCAAAAUGAAAAUGUGAACUCCUUGUUCAAAAAUUAUUAAGAAUUAUACGACAGUGACAGCAAAGCAUUAAAUCAAGCAUGGAGCCCUUUUAAGCACAGGCCCUAUGCAACUUCACAGGUCUUACACCUACAAAGCCAGACUUGGUGACUGUGCUCUGUAAAGUGACAGAGCACAUUUUCUCUCACUAUUUACUGUAGCUAUUUCUUAGCUCUAAACAGUCAUUUCCUUUCAAAGAGCUCGGAACAUGGAAAACUAAAUAGUUUGGAUAUUAAGAAUUCUUUUAAUUGAAGGAGGAGAGCCUAGAGACAGAUAAAAUUGUGAGUUUUUGUUCUGGAGUCAGCCUUGAUUUGCUAGAGUCAAACCUGGUUUGAUUGUGCUUUAAUCUCUGAAUCGCCUUCAGUGAAUCGCUUCAGUCUCAAAGUCAUUGUCUCAUUUAUUGUAAAGCAGGGGCAAUUCUUGUGCCUACCUUAUUGGACUUCUAGAAGAAUUAAAUGUAAUAUUGAAUGUAAAGUACUUAGCAUAAUGCCUGGCUCAUAUUAUUGCUCAACAAAUAUUAGCAAUUGCCAUAAUAAUUAUGAACUGAGAAAGGGAUGGUUGAGGACUGAGACUCCUCGAAGGAUAUCGUAGGAUUCGGGGGUUUAAUUUAUGUUCUGUUUGCCUGAGCCUAGUUACCACUAGAAAGUUUAAAAAUGUUUUCUGAUGAUAUAUUCUUUAUUUGUAGAAAAUUUUAGAAAAAAAAGCGAAAUUUAUACAUGGAUUAAUCAUUCAAAGGUAACAACUGUUAGUUUUUUAAUGUAUUUCCCUGAAAUUUUCUUUUUUGCAUGUAUGUGUAUGAGAAUUGUACCCUAGUGUAGCUUUAGUUUUAUAUUCUGCUUCCUCCCCUUCCUGUAAAUAUCACCUUAUGGCAUUAAAUUGCUUUAAAAAUUUUUCAUGACAGCUUAAUUCUGUAUUGUGCAGAUGUUCCAUAAUUUGUUUCCCUAUCUCAUGGACUUUUAAGCCAUUUUCCAUUUUUCAGUAUUGUAAAUUAUGCUAUGAAUGGCCAUGUGCAUAUAUCGCUGAUCACCUCUGACUAUUCCUGUCUUAGAGAAGAGUCCUCUUUUAAAGAAGGGAUCUAGAAAUGCAUGGGUUAAGCCUCUUGCCAUGUAUGAUACUUCCAAAAUGAUUGUACCAGUUUCUCUCCCAUCAGGUAGGGAUAGGGGGAUCCUAUCUUCCAAGACCUUCUCCAACAUGGAGCUAUUUGUAAACCUUUGACCAUUUGAUAGGCACAAAAGUUGUCAUAUCUAUAAUACUCUGUUGCUUUGACCAAUAGUGAGAUUGGGCAUAUUUUCAUGUUUAUUGAGUAUGUUUACUAUUUACUAAGUAUUUAUGUUUCUUUGUGAAUCAUAAGUUCAUGGCUUUUUGCCAGUUUUUCUAUUGGGCAAUUUGAUUUGUGCCCAAUUAUUAUCUGUUUUUUGCUCAAUUAUAUUAUUUUUAAUAAGGUACCCCAGAUUCUUACCUCUCCUAAUAAUGCAUAAUGAAUACAUCAGGUAGUUUUCUGUAAUAAUGCAGUGUUACUUCUAAAAACAUUUAGGACCAGAACAGAGUACGAAGUGGUGAGAUGGUAAGGUAUUUGACAAAUAUGGCUAUUGACAGCUUCUUUCACCAUCAUAGUCAUGUUAGGUGAAACUUGCUUUUUAAGAAAAAUUAUUACAAUACUAAUAGAGAGCAAUUCUUCCAUAUUUUACAGGGUUAUCAUCAAAUGUUAGUAGUAAUUAGGACUGUGAUUUUUAUUUUAUUUUAUUUUAUUUCCUAUUAUUCCUUGUAUUUUUCAAAAUUUAUAUCCUGAACACAUAUAGCCUUUUAUUAUCCGUUUUACAGUUAAACAAUAAAAACAAACAAAUUCAAAGACCUAGUAAUGGCUAGAAUAAGCCUGUAAUAUUUUUGUUUCAUAUGAUUUAGCAGAACUGAAGUUGCAAGUAAAAUUAUUUGACAAAUUACAAAUGAGCUAUUUAGUCCUAUUACCUUUUUAGUCUUUAUACAAUCCAAUCUUGCAGUUGCCUGCACUCCCCUAAAGGGGAUGUAAUGCAGUGGGUACCACAAUAGGAUAUCGGGUCAACUAGAUCUGAGGUCACAUCCACAUAGCCUCAUGUUGGUUGUGUGACCCUGGACAUUAACAUUUUUGUGCCUUAAUUUUGUUUCUUUUAAGAUGGGGACAAUAAUAUCUUCCUCUUCCUAAUAAGGUUGUUGUGAGAAAUAAAUGAGAGUAUUUAACACAGCCAUAGGCACCCAGUAAGUGCUCAACAAAUAGACUUCAUUUUUAUUAAAUAGAGUUGAUGUUAAGCCUAUUUGAACAAAUACAUUGGAUUCAGUGACAGCACUGAAAGUCAAGCCUACAGAGGCCUUUUUUUAUGCCUCUUGUGCCUUCACCCUGAGCAAGUGAUGUCAAGGGACAAAGUCCACUGCGAUCACACCUGCCUGCCAAAUAGGGUCUCAUGUAGAACAGACCACUGUUCUCCCAGGAAAGGCCCCGUGUGGCUGUGUGUGUAGACUUCUCUGUCUCUGUCUCUGUCUCUGAGUCUCUCCCUGGCUCGCCCUCUCUGUUUCCCACACACCACACAUCCACACACCCACACACUCACAGACUCACACACUGCACACUUACACAUCACACACACACUUUCAUACACCACACACUCAGACUCACACACACACCAUACACACUUACACCACACAUUCACAAACCACACAUUAACACAUACCACACACACACCACACACUCAGACUCACACACAUGCCGCACACUCUCACAUAUCACAUGCUCAAACACCCACACAUUCAGACACACCGCACACACACACACCACACACUCACACAUACACCACAUGCUCACACCACACAGACUCACACCACACACAUACACUUACAUAACCACACAGACUCAGACACUCAUACACCACAUGCUCACCCACCACAGACUCACACACACCACACACUCAUACAAUCCCACACUCACACACCACACACACUACACACUUACACACCCACUCACCACACGCUCACACAGCACACACUCCUACACUACAAACACAACACAUUCACAAACCACACAUUAACACCCACAAACCACACACAGACACUCACACCCCACACACGACACUCCCACACACCACACACCCACCUCACACACUCCUAUACCACACAACACAUUCACAAACAACACAUUAACACCCACACACCACAUACACCACACACACACCACACCCUCUCUGAUCUGAGCAAGUUGUUGUGGGCAGAAGAAAAAUAUUUUUUCCUUGCGCUCAUCUUAAGUUUAUUGGCUGGGGCCCUGGUAAUAAAAGACAGAGAAGAGCACACACAUUUAUGUGAUCUAAGUUUUCUGACACACGGGAGACCAUCAGGAGACACAGAGCCGAAGGAGCAGUUAAACCCGUGUGUUUCUCUGCUAGGUUUGAGGAAGAGCGAAGAGUGUUGGAGAAUAUGACAAGACAAAGGAGGUCUGAAUGAAAUGUUAGGCCUGGGGACCUUAGUAAGGCCUGCUCGUCCACAUUCCUCCCAGCAUCCCUGCGUCUUCAGAGGCAACACUGCUGCUUCUCUCUGGGUCUAGGGGGUCACCUCUCUCAAGAGGGGCUUAUGACCUGCUUCAGGGGAAGGUCAGAAGCUCUGUCUUGCACAUGCUAUUUCUCAAAUUCCUUCAGCUUAAGAUAUUCAAUAUACCCCAUGCCCUAUUUUGGAGUAGCAUGUCCUGAACCCCGUUAUGUGGUGAUGGAGGGUAUACAUUAGUUGAUUACUUUCCACUGAUUUUCACUGUACACGAGGUUGUAACCACAAAUAUGGUGGCAGUCAGUGAGAAGUUUAAAUGACAGAAUGCGUUCCCUUUAAAUGUGGACAUAAUACUUUAAAGCACACUCUAUGACUAGAAUUAAGCAUUAGAAAGCAGAUGUUUUAACAGGACUGCUUGACUCAACAGACAGACCAACCUGUGAUUAAGGCAGAAGCCCAUGGGUGUACCCAGGAGGCUGACGUCCUUUCUCCCAAUUAGAUGGGCAGGCCCUAUAAAUCUUAAACUAAAUGUUGUCUAUAAAUUUGGCAAAGAAUUGCAACAACUCUAACGCUGGUAAGGGGAGACAGGCAUUCUCAUAUCCUACCAGGGCAGUAUAACUCGAGACUGUCAUCUGGAGGGCAAUUUGGCAAUGCAAAGUUUGAUCAGUAAACCCACUGUGUAUCAUUAGUGAGGAUACUUUUAGAUGCAAAGAAUAGAAAACCUAGACAAAAACAACUUAGCCAAAGAAGAAAUUCAUUAUCUCACCUAACAAGAAUUCUAGAGGUAAGGGAAAUCCAGAGCUUGUUAACUGAGUAGCUCUGUGGUCAUCAGGGUCCAGUGUCUUUUCUACCUUUCUGCUCUGCCACUCCCAACAUAUGGGGUUGUCCUCAUGGUUAAUUCAUAAUGGUCAUAGUAUGGCUGCAGCAGCACCAGCCAUCACAGACUCAUUUGACAAUGUCCAAGGGCUGGAAGAAUGUCCCUCUCUUGUGUCCCUAUUGAAGAGGAAGAAACCUUUCCAGAAGCCCCUCUGUCUGCCUUCGCGUGGCUAAUUUUCCCUCUAAAAUUUCCCUCUAAAUUUUUCCCUCACGUGGCUAAUUGACUAGAAACAUAUCACACAUCUAUUUUAAAUCCUAUCAUUGGCAAAGAGAGUGAAAUUGCACAAUUGGCUUGGGGCUGAAGAGAAACUUGGCUUUCUCUGAAGCACAGACCCUCCCAAAAUCUGAAUCAGGUAUGAGUUCAAUUAACAAGGAAGAAGUUGGUGGAUCCUUGCUGUCUAGGCCAUCAGUAGAGUCUGUCAUCCUUUUUAAAGCAGGGCUUUAGAGAGCUUUCCACAACACAGCACACAUAGAAAAUUCUAGUACAGGCUGGGCACGGUGGCUCACGCCUGUAAUCCCAGCACUUUGGGAGGCCAAGGCGGGUGGAUCACUUGAGGUCAGGAGUUCGAGACCAGCCUGACAAACAUGGUGAAACCCUGUCUCUACUAAAAAUACAAAAUUAGCUGGGUGUGGUAGUACACACCUGUAAACCCAGCUACUUGGGAGGCUGAGGCAGGAGAAUCGCUUGAACCCAGGAGGCAGAGGUUGCAGUGAGCCGAGAUCGCUCCGUUGCACUCCAGCCUGGGCAUCUCAAAAAAAAAAAAAGAAGAAAAGAAAAUUCUAGUACAAUAUUUGCAUGGCAUUCUGAAGUAAAUUGGGGAGCUUCAAUAUGGGGCUUGGUGAAAAUUACUAUCUUUAUGAUACAUAAUUAUAAUAAAAGUAAAAUACAAAGUAUUGAGAAAGAUAUGACACAUUGAAUUUGUAUAAAACUUCCAAAUAAAACCUUUUCAGGUUGUAACACAAGAAACCUGAGCUUGCUUCUAGAGACACAUAUUUUUCUAUUUCAGGUUUUAUGUUGAAAUAGCUACACUGAACUCUUGAUCAAGACUUUUCUUUCAAUGAUGAUUUCUUCAAAUUCUUUAUAGUCACCAGAGGAGAACUUUAUUCUUAAAAUAGGUGAUAAAAAUAAUUAAAUUGGCCAGGUGCGGUGGCUAACACCUGUAAUCCCAGCACCUUGGGAGGCCAAGGUGGGCGGAUCACAAGGUCAGGAGUUUGAGACCAGCCUGGCCAACAUGGUGAAACCCCGUCUCUACUAAAAAUACAAAAAUUAGCUGCGUGUGGUGGCACACGCCUGUAGUCUCAGCUACUUGGGAGGCUGAGGCAGAAGAAUCGCUUGAAUCUGGGAGGCGGAGGUUGCAGUGAGCCAAGAUCCUGCCACUGCACCCAGCCUGGGUGACAGAGCGAGACUUAGUCUCAAAAAAAAAAAAAAAUUAGCUGGGCGUGGUGGUGUGCACCUGUAAUCUCAGCUACUUGGGAGGCUGAGGCAGAGGAAUUGCUUGAAUCAGGAAGGUGGAGGUUGCAGUGAGCCGAGAUCACGCCGCUGCAUUCCAGCCUGGGCGACAGAGCGAGACUCCAUCUCAAAAAAAAAAAAAAAUUUUUUUAAACCAUUUUUACAACCAUUUGAACAUUUUCUGCAGUUGCAAAUCUAUUUAAAAAAUUAAUAGGUCUUCUUUUUCUUUCACUGACAAAUAUAACAGUGAAAUUUCUUUUAUUAAUGAAAGUGGAUUUCAAACUCAUUUGAACUUUUUCAUAACAGGUCUUUCAAAAUCAUGACACUGUUCUAAUGUACAUAUGAAAUGGUAAAGUGGGUAUUAUUACCUAGCCAAGAUGCCGGUACAAAGGCACCUCAGGUACAAGUGGACAGAGGUGUACGGUAUAGAUGAAAAAAAUGCCUCCUGGAUGAGCCCUUCCAGAGCCCUGUAUUCAGUCUCCAUUUUGCCCCUCUGUUUAAUAAUUGCACUUGGGACAUAAACUCCCCCAGCAGCUCCAUAGGUCCUUGUCUUCCAAGGGCAUGGUGUGAUCCAUAGCCACCUGCUUGGGGAAUCACCCUUUCCCCAUGCUUAAUAGGUUACUCAAUAGGUUACUCUAGAACAGUGGUUUUCUGAGUGUAUUCCCCAGACCAGAAGCAAGAGCAUCAUCUGGGAGCUAGUUAGAAAUGCAAAUUCUGGGGUCUUACCCUAGACCUAUUGAAUCAGAAACUCGGGGUGGGCCCAGCCUGUGUGUCACAAGCCCUCCAGGUGAUUCUAAUGCGCCCUCAAGUUUGAGGGCUAUAGUUGCAAACACUGAAGACAGAUGUUGCUCAUCAUGCCCAACUAUACAUGCCCUGUUAGUCCUCACUCCAACCGUGGACUGAGAGGAUUGCGAUCUUGUGGUUAGCUUGUGUCUUACUCCAUUUGUGUUGCUAUAAAAGAAUACUUGAGGCUGGGUACUUUAUUGAGAAAUUUUGGCUCAAGUUCUGCAGGCUGUAGGAUAACGGUAUCAGCACCUGCUUCUGGUGAGGGCCUCAGGAAUCUUCCACUCAUGGCGGAAGGCAAAAGGGAGCAGGCAUUACAUGGUGAGGGAGGAAGGAAGAUUGAGGGGCAGGGUCAGAAUCUUUUAAUAAUCAGUUCUCAGGGGAACUGAGAGAGUGAGAACUCACUCACUACCACGAAGACAGCACCAGGCCAUUCAUGAAGGAUCUGCCCCCAUGAUCCAAACACCUCCCACUAGGCCCCACCUCCAACAUUGGGGAUCAGAUUUCAACUCGAGGUUUGGAGGGGACAAACAUCUAAACUAUAUCAAACUGUGACUCAUCCAAGGCACACAGUCUCUGCUCCAAAGCAAGGGUGCAGCUCCACCUCUUGCCUCUGGCAGUUUUGAAUGAAAUAGCUGAAAGCAGAAAGCAGGACAGAACAACAGCCAGGGGAGGAAGGCCUGAGGCAGCCACCCAUGGGAUAGUUAGGGCCCAUUGUAUGUUUCCUUGGCUGUGGAAGUCAUAUUUCCCUUAGCAUUGUUUAAAGUUGUCCAAGAUUGAUAAUGGUGACAAGCCUGCCUCUGUCCCCAUCAGAACUCCAGAGAGCAGGAGUAGCCGAUCUCAGCCAUUGGUGCCACCCACACGGGAAAUGAGAGCACUUCCUCUUUUACACACACACACACACACACACACACACACACACACACACACACAUCAUUAGCAGUUAUGGUUGGGCACUGUCUCACAAGAUCUCACCUCCUAUAGGGCUUGUCCCUUUGUUCAUGAGGAAAGAUGGGACCAGAAUGCUGUGGGAUGCAAAAUCAAUUCAUUAGAUCACAGGGUGCCUGGAAAGUGGUGUUAGAUUUUUGACUUUAGAGAGAGGGUCUAGCAGACACUCAACCACUUACCAGAUGUCCCUGAGUCUACUGCUCAAAGUCAAGACAGUCUUUCCUUCCAGGGUAACACUUUUGGUAGUCAAUAAAAUGUGCAUGACAGCAGAGGGUGGCACUGGUCCUAAGGAAGAAUUUACACUGGGCUUUGUCUCUCCCCUCUGGUGUGUUUGUUUCUUACCCUUGGAGGGUGAUUUAGGAUGGAGAGCUGAGAGGGUACCCAAGAGCCAAGGGGCAUCAUUUUCCAUUCCAUUCCUCACCAGCUGGACAAAAUAGUACUAUGCCUUGAUAUUGUGGUACUGACUACCCUAUAGCAUUUGAUGCUUAAAAAGCAUUUUCACAUACUGGAUCUUUGGAGUCUCCCUAGGACAGUAGUAUGAAGGAGAAUUUGAACCUCAGCAUAAGUGACUUGCCCACGGGAAUAUGUUUGAUUUGUGCAAGUGGAGAUCUGAACACAAAGUAUCUGGAUCUAAGCACUGUCCUCUUCUUGCCCCAAAACAAGACCUCCUUGCCGCUUCACCUUGCUCAUCCUCAGCAGGUCAGGGUCAGUUUCUUUCCUACAGACUUUAAUGACGAAACUUUCUGAGACUUGCUUUGUCUAAGAAAACCAUCUCAUGUUGUUAAACAUCUUCAGGCUUGGGAAAUUCUUCUUAUAUUGGACUAACAUCCUUGCUUUAAAAAUCGUAAGUAAGCCCAUUUUUUCUCUUUCCUUCCUGGUAAAAAGUGGGGUAUAGUAAUAACAACAACUAAAUUUAUCGAGCAUCACUAUAUUCUAGGCAUGCUUCCUCAACUUCAUGAGGAAAGUACUAUUAUAACCCCAUUUUAUAGAUAAGGAAAACCCCAUUUUAUAGAUAAGGAAAAACGAGGCAUAAGAUGUUAAGAACUGGUAUAACUGGCCCAAGAUGGAAAAAAACAGAGGCGUAGGAUGUUAAAUAACUUGUCAGAGUUAAAAUGGCUAAUGAGUGAUUAUGUAGGGAUUUGAGCCCAGGUGGUUUGACUCCAGAAUCUAUGUGCCUGAUUCCAGGACCAUGUUGACUUUAAGUAAAAAAAAAAGAGAUCCCUGAUAACUUGCUUUCUUUGUGUAUCUCAGUGUAAUUCCUUCAUUCUCUCUCAAAAUAAAUCCAGCUGCUUUUGUAGUUUUCCCCAGGUGUUACUUACCAUUCAGUUAAUCUCUUUUUUCCCCCCUGUUAGCUGCACUUCAGCAGUAAACACAUUUGGGAGGCUGUUCUAACAUUCUUUUACUCCUGGGUUAUUACUUCCACUGUGGCAAAACUGUUAUACCAAAUUUGGGUGUAGAUCUCCCUUAGGAAGUUUUUCCAGGUCCUGCUUCUACAUGACCAACAGGAAUCUCCACUCCUGUUUCCUCCAGGCAACACACUUCAAAGUUCACAUUAGACAGACUCAGCUAACCAUUAUUCUUGAGGCUGCUAUAAAAUUUCCCAAUGUAAUCAGUACGAAAGAUUUCUAUCAUUUUGCAUAAUUUUAGGUUAAUUUACAUGAAGUAAUUAAAAUAAAGACAAACUAAAGUCUAAACUGUCGGUUGAACCUGUUUUGUUGUUGUUGUUUUGAUUUGUUUUUUGAGAAAGGGUCUUGCUGUGUAUCUCAGGCUGCAAGCUGGAGUGCACUGGUGCAAUUAUGGCUCACUGCAGCCUCCACUUCCCAGGCUCAAGCAAUCUGCCCACCUAAACCUCCAGCAAAGCUGUUUAUUAUGUUUAGUAGAGAUGGGGUCUCCCUAUGUUGCCCAGGCUGGUCUUGAACUCCUGAGCUCAAGCAAUCCCCCUGCCUCAGCCUCCCAAAGUGCUGGAAUUAUAGGCGUGAGACACUGCACCUAGCCUGAACCUGUUUUAAAAGCUUGGAAUUCAGAAACACUGAAAGGAGUGUGUAUUAAAAGAACUACCUGAGACUGGGUAAUUUAUAAAGAAAAGAGGUUUAAUUGGCUCACGGUUCUGCAGGCUGUACAGCAAAAAUAGCUGGGGAGGCCUCAGGAAACUUAGAAUCAUGGUGGAAGGCAAAGGGGAAGCAGGCACGUUUUACGUGGCUGGAGGAGGGGGAAGAGAGAGAAGGGGGAGGAGCUACACAUUUUUAAACAACCAGAUCUUGUGAGAACUCACUCACUAUCAGAAGAACAGCAAGGGGGAUAUCCACCCCCAUGAUCCGAUAACCUCCCACCAGGCCCCUCUUCCAACAUUGGGGAUUACAAUUUGACAUGAGAUUUGGGUAGAGACACAAAUCCAAACCAUAUCAGAAUGGGAUUAAGCCCAGACUAUAAAGCUAAGAAAAACUUCAUUAUUACUCCUAAAAUAUCUGGGGACAUUUCUGGGCAUGAGACUGGGGAGCUGAGACAGGGAUUGCCCCAUCAAGCAGUACACCAGCUGUUCCCUUGUUCUGAAACUUCUUCCUUCUUCAUUCCAAACUGUCCUUGACUAUCAUCACAGUCAGAUGUCCACUUAGACAUCUCCUCCUCUCUGGGGAGCUCCUCCCCGAUUCCAAAUUCAGUUAGGUGUCCCCCCCACCACCCCACCCCCCACAGAGCCCUCCUAGUGUCUUGUCCUUGCUCAUUCUGCUGAAUGGCUGGCUUCCAUCCUGUCCCAGGUUGCAGGUCAUUGCCUGCAGGCAGUGACCUUGCCUCACCUUUCAUUGGCUCCUAGUCCUACCUCGUAAAGGAACUGAUUCAUAGAUACUCAAUAAAUAUUUAGUAAAUGAAUGAAUGAGACCCUAUUAGUGCAGAUACUUUUUUGUUUGUUUACUUUUUCUCAUCUCUAUAAAAGAGGCAACCUUACUUUUCUAUGUCAGUGAACAUAAUGAGAGCCUUUUUUUCCUGAUUUCUCUCCUUUAGUUAGGUGGAUCAUGAAAAAUCACAAAGUACUUUAAAAAAUGAACUGGUUCAGAACAUCCUUCCCAAUUAUUAGCAGCUCCCAAGGAUUCUACAGGCACUUUUCAAGGCACUCCCUCCCUUUUCCUCACUGACGUUUCCAGAGCCUGCUGGCGUGGAAAGAAUGUCUGAGAAGGAAAAAGAGCUACGCUGCGGAGACUGCUUUUUCAAGCCAGGUUCCCAGCCAGGACAUUUUCUUCUACAGUUUCCCAGAGAUCAAGCCAGCAGCUGCUUCCUGCCCCUUGCUGAGCUGUACCUGGGGGCUGAUGGUUUUACUGUUCUUUGGUAACCAUGCAGAUUCAGAGCUGCAUGUUCAGUAGCUAGAGGGCUCCCUUAAAUGGACAAGGUUGGAGCCUCACAUUCCACGAGCCAUUGGAAACUCUCAGCCUUUGGUUCCUUAUUAUGAGAAUGUUACUGUGGCUCUGGGCUAGACAAUGAAUCUAGCAAUGGUUUUGAUGUCUUUUGUUUCAUGCAGCCCAUAAAAAGCAGCCGGGCCCUGCUGUCUGCACUUGGUUUGGGCAGAUAGACCCUCUACUAUGACAGCCUUUAACUCUCACUCUAACCUGCCCUCAUUAACUUACCUACAACAGGAAAUCUUGCAUAUCACGUUUCAUUUUAUAGUGGCCUGUAGCACCCUCAAGGUGCCCAUCCCACCUACUCACUUUGAAACCCUGACUUGGGAAGCUAAAGUGCGUUGUCCCCAUUUGGUGAUUGUUAGAACCAUACAUAGGUCACUUUAGUUCACUGGCCCAUUCCCAUCUUCCCUCCAUUAAGUAGCUGCAACUGAAUUUUGCGAUAGCCUUUUCUUUUCUGCCUCUGAGGUGAUUUUAGGGAAUAUGUGGAAAUCUAAAUCUCCUGCUGGUCAACAGGCAAGAGCUGGGUACCAGAGGCUGAGCUGCUGAUAGGGCAUUUGAUUCUUUUUCAUUCUGAUUAAGCCUCUGGGGACUCAUAGUCCAAACAUGAAGAACAAAUGGAUUUUAAAUUAGUUCUUAGGAUCCAAAAACUCUGGCUGCAAGUACAAAGAGGUUAAUGGUCUUGUAGGCAUUUUUACUUGCUUCUCAGUUUUACAGCUUUGAAUCCUUAUGUGAGCUGAUAGGAGCUUCUUGUUGGCAAGAGAUGUUAGAGAACUAAACCCAGGAAGAAUAGAAAUAGUGCCAGGAAAGACAGAUAACCUGCAGAAAGGCUAUAAGGCUGUUUUGGCUUCUCCCAACCUGUGCAAGCUGCCAUCAGGAGGGUAGGGGUAGGCAGGUGACAGCCCCCAUCUUUAACUACAAAAGUGCCUGGAGGUAGCAUAAAGAACCAUCGGAGCAGUGUCAGACUCCCUUCCUCCCUAUUAGAUGUGCCACCCAGAAGGUAUGGUCCUGUUGCUUUUCUGUUUAAUUUUCUGAACAGUGGACAUGUAUUAAAUGAGGAACAAGUCCUUUUGCAGAUCUUUGUACAGUAUGCAAGUAUUCAUUCAAUACCCAAAAUGUUGGAAAGUCAGAUGUAAGCCAACAUUAAUAACAGCUAAGCCUGCAGGAAGUAUGAUUUCCUCAACUGCUACCAAAGGAAGUGACAAAGUAUCAGAUAUAUGUUUUUAAUGUUUUACUUUUUAAUAUUUAUGGGUACAGAGUAGUUGUAUAUAUUUAUGGGGUACAUGAGAUGUUUUGAUAUAGACAUGCAAUGGGUAAUAAUCACAUCAUGGAGAAUGGGGGAUCCAUCCCCUCAAGCAUUUAUCCUUUAAAUACCAGGUAUUUGAUUAAGAGAAAUUGGGAUGGAGAAGAUAAGUAACUGCAACAGAAGUUGUAAUGGUCUUCAACUGUCUGUAUCAUCAUCAGUCUUCUAGCUCAAAUGAUGGCUUGAAUACACUGCCACAAGAAGUAUUUUCUGGUUCAAAAAUUGAAAGCAAGUUUUCAAGGGCCAGGAUGAAAUCCACUGCAAUAAUGUAAAAUGUAAUCGCCCCAUUUAUUAUUACAGAGAUUACCAAAGGUCUGAUGGUGUUUUUAAUGGCAGUGUGUUUUAAUGGCAAUGUGUUUUAUUUCUCUGGUGGAAAAAAGGGUUAUGCUCCAGCGACCUAAAAUAGCCCCACUGAGCAUAUUUCGCACCUCCACCCAAGGCACUUGGGGAUUUGUAUGGGAAGAGUCCAUUUUCUUGGGUUCAAUGAGAUGCGAUUUGGAAAGGGAAAAGGUUGCUGAGGGCAGGAAGUAUCUUCGAUUCAACUAAAGUCAUAGCUAGCUGUUGUCCUUCUGGUACCUUCCUCUGGCCCAUGGGGGCAGCAGUGGGCAAGAGGGCGUUAUUUAGUUGAUGGAGGUAAGGAAAAAAUGAAGCGUAUGAAGUCGAAGAUUGAGCACUAUGAGGAAAAGUUUUAUUGUUAAGCAGGGAACCUGUGUCUAGGCUCUGGGGGAUGAGAUGCCCAGACUCGGGAGGGGGUGUGGGGAGAACUAGGGUGGGUCCUUCAAAGCCAAGACACUGCAAACUCUAUUUGUGCCCUUAGGAUAGCAAAGUCUCUGAUGGUUGCUAUUUGGUUGGUGAUGUGUGAACUGUCCCUGGGAGGUUCUCCUGCUUGGGAUAUGGUGGUAUAAGAUGUGGUGCCCAGCUGCCCCUGCUAUGCACAGGUCAUGCGGGUCAGGAUUGGGUGGCCCAGUCCACUCUGCACCAGUAUCAGCCGGCUCAUGGCCAGGCCAGGGUUUAUCAGUGGCCACAGUGGUGGGAGGUGGAGACAGUGUCCUUGUCAUAUAUUCCUUUUAUUUAUUACACUCCCCUGCCCAUUUCUACCAUCUACGUCAUGUGGCACUUGGGAACAUGCAGUUUGAUCCUGGACACUACUCUCAGACUCUCUGAGCCUCAGCCUGCUCACCUCUGAGGAAGGGGGAUAAACGCCCAGCACAGAACAAGCUUAACAUCAGACAUCCUGAACCGCUGACUGUGGACCACCCCGACCCUGCAAUCUCACAAUGGGAUUUUUUUAUCUUAUCUCUUCCCAAAUACUAUGAACUCCUCCAGACACUGCAUUCCUUAUUAAACUGGACAUAUAUGUCUAACUUAAAAGGUAAUGAACUAAAAAGUCAAGGUAUAGAUCAGGGAACCAGGCCCCCCAGCAGCCCCCAAAGUUGUUGGUGUCUUCACACUGGAAAACAAGCCAUUUGAUUCCUUUUAGCUGGAGAAAAAAUGCAUUAAACUUUGUAACUGAGAACAUUUAUGAUCCAUCUGACCCCAAAUCUCAAAACCCAUUGAAAGUGGCAUUUAAAUCUCACAGUGCCCUGAGAUUCUGCCAACACCAGUGGGGAACAUAGCUAAGAGAUUGUGUUACAUCUUUGACCUGAGCUUUUUUUUUUCUUUUAAAUAUGGUCUUGAUAAAUGAUUUCCCAUUUACCUUUUUCCUUUCUCUAUUGUCUGUAACCUUGAAACUUGAUUUGCUAUCCACCAGGCAACACUGAUUUGCAACUUCACUAGAUAGGUUGGAGGAGGGGGGCUUACAGCCUCAAAACAACCCUGCUUUCCCUAUCACGGGGCCAGAGGGAGUGGAGCUGCUUCUGAAUGCUUGCUCUGAAUUCAGCCUUGCUGAGUGCUACUCAAGGUACGGGUGCGGUGGGUGGUGUCCCCAGUUCCUAAUCUGGGGAAUUAUCCCAGUGUACUUUGGGCAGCAAAUUUCUGAUGCAGAAAGAUGGUGUUUGUACUGCAGAGCUGUGGUCUUAACAUUUACACAAAGUCACAAAGUUUGAUCUCAAAGUCGCUAAACCUCUCUGUGCCUCAGUUUCCCCAUAUACACAAAGGAAUAAUAACCGUCACUAUCAGUAGGGUGUUUUAGCAGCAAAUAACAGAAAAUCCAAAUCAAAUUGACCUCAACAAUAAGAACAUUUACUGACUCCCAGAACCAGAACUGCAGUGGUUGGGUAUGGCUUCCUCUCCUGUCAUCUCUUGCCCCCAUCCUGUUUUGUUCUCAUAACAACUAAAUCCUUAGGCUGAUAGGAAAAUGGAAGCAACAAUCUGCAAACUGACAUGGGCCAAGGUUUCAAGGAUUUUAUUUAAGGUAACAUCCUAACAGGAGAUUUUUGAACCACAAAGGUUCCAGCCCUUAAUGGUGAGAUUUAGUGCCUUACAGUCACUGGUAUAUCCUUGGGAUGCUAGAUAUUAUCGUGGCUAGCAUAAGACCAUAGGGUCAACUUUGCUUCCCUUGACAUUCUGGAAUGUGUCCACACCAGGCACAGGAGCCGGAAUGGCUGUGCCUUCUGUGAGGUCACCAAUAUCAUCAGAGGAUGCUCCUUUUAGGGGAUGCAGGUAGCCAAUGAACAGCCAGAGCUGAAGAGGCACCAUGAAGCUGAAAGGUCACCUUGGGUUCCUUUGAAGGGAAGGAUACAGAGUCCAGCCAGUGCUCAUUCCUGUUGGUGGUCUUCUUCCAGAAGCCUAAAGUAGUGGUUCUCAAACUUGAGCACUGGCUUUGAGAGCUUCUCAAGGUACAGAUUGCCAGCCCACACCUCAGGAAUCUCUGAUCCAGCAGUUCUGGAGAAGGUCCUGAUCAUUUACAUUGCUUACAAGUUUCCAGAUGAUGCUGAUGCUGCUGGUCCAGGGACCAGAAUUUGAGAAGCACUGACCAAGAGGAUGAAUGAUGGAGUACGCUUUGCAGCAGAGACCAACAGCAGCCACCCGGACUCAGUUGACUUUCUGCUUACUCUGGCUUAUUUAUUCUCCAUAUGCUCCCCAUCAUCACUGAAGUAUCCUGGAUCAUUCAUUUAUGGAGGGAACCACAUUUUUACCUUAUAGGCUAGAGCUCUCUGUGGGAGAGCGGUGGGGUUUUAUAAUUUAUCAACUAUGAGGAGCUCACUAUUUCAUACCCAUGGCUGUUUAGAAUGCUUAAGAGAACACAGAAGCUCCCUGAGGUGCGGCCCUUUUUUAUGCUGGAUCUCCAACACUGGAAGCAAAAGGAAGUCCCAAACAGAAACUAUAUGCAGUGCUGAAUCUACAGUGGCUCUGAGAACUUUUAACUAAUGGGCACUUGUAAAUCUCACAACAUUUCCUACUGGCGUGAAUGCCCUGGGUAAAAUGCUCAUUAAACUGUCAGCCAGCAGAGAGGUGUCGUUGCUGGAAAGAGAGUCACAGCAUCCAGGGGUGGAAAGAGGCCUCCCUGGGCCACCAGGGCCCUCCUCUCCCCCAUUCACCCACCACCAACCCCAGACUCAAACCCUCCUUUCAAAGCCUUUCAGAGGAUGUUACAACUCUCCUUCACCUCCACCAGGAAAUUAUUCUUUUUCUCCAAUCCAAAUAUAUAUAUAUAUAUUCAUGUUUAAUCACUAUUUCUUUUUGUUGGAGAGGAUAUCUUCUAUGAAAAUUGAGAAUGGCUAGCCACUGUCCAUGGUGGACAGUCUUUCAUGUACUUAGAAUCCCUUAUAAAAUUACUCCUGAGUCCUUAUCUUUUUUAUUUUUGUUUCAUCAUUUUAAAAAUUACCAUUUAGUGGCUGGGUGUGGUGGCUCAUGCCUGUUAUCCCAGUACUUUGGGAGGCCGAGGCAGGCAGAUCACGGGGUCAGGCGUUUGAGACCAGCCUGCCCAACAUGGUGAAACCCCAUCUCUACUAAAAAUACAAAAAUUAGCUGGGCGUGGUGGCAGGCGCCUGUAAUCUCAGCUACUCAGGAGGCUGAGGUAGGAGAAUCAUUUGAACCCGGGAGGCAGAGGUUGUAGAGAUCCAAGAUCGCGCCAUUGCACUCCAGCCUGGGCGACAGGGUGAGACUCCACCAAAAAAAUAAAAAUUAAAAAAAGAUUACUAUUUAGUAUUAAAUAACAUUUACACAGUAAAAAAAAAUUACAUAGCACAAAAUAGUAUAUAACAAUUCUUUCCUAUAAUUAACCUCCAACAAUAGUUUCAUAUGUACCUUUCAGAGAUUUUCCAAACAUAUAUUUGUAUAUACAUACACACACACACACACACACAUGAUUUUAACUUAAUGACAUAUCUUGGGGUUUCUUCAUAUCAACACAUAUACUUCUUUAUAAGGAUAUGCCAUAAAUUAUUUCAUCACUUCUCUGUUUAUGGUUUUUUGACUAUUUCCAGUUUUGUACUUUGGGCAGUGUGGUAGAUACAUCUUUCAUUAUUUUGGCAAAUAGAAGAUUUUCUAAAAGUGAGGUUGCCAGGCCAAAGUUUGUAUAUAUAUUUUUUUCUUUUGAGAUGGAGUCUUGCUGUGUCACCCAGGCUGGAGUGCAGUGGCACAAUCUCAGCUCACUGCAACCUCUGCCUCCUGGGUUCAAGUGAUUCUCCUGCCUUAAUCCCCCAAGUAGCUGGGAUUACAAGUGCGUGCCACCACACCCAGCUAAUUUUUUACAUUUUUGGUAGACACAGGGUUUCACCGUGUUGGCCAGGCUGGUCUCGAACUCCUGACCUAAAGUGAUCCACCCGCCUCAGCCUCCCAAAGUGCUGGGAUUACAGGCAUGAGCCAUUGUGCCCGGCCUAGGUUUGUAUAUUUUUAAUUUUGACAGAUUGCAUUCUAGAGGUUGCACCAAUUCUCACUCCUGUCAACAAUGUUCAAGAGUGCCAGUGACUCCCUACAUAUGCUCACCUGUAUAGUGUGUUGACAAGUUUUGAAAUUUUUGCCUCAUAGGCAAAAAUAAUGCUAUAAUCUUCAGACCUAUAAUUCCCACUUCUCUUCUUAUGAUUGAGCACCUUUUUUUUUUUUUUUGAGAUGGAGUCUUGCUCUGUCGCCCAGGCUGGAGUGCAAUGGCACCAUCCUCGCUCACUGCAACCUCCACCUCACAGGUUCAAGCGAUUCUCCUGCCUCAGCCUCCUGAGUAGCUGGGAUUACAGGUGCACACCACCAGGCUCAGCUAAUUUUUGUAUUUUUAGUAGAGACGGGGUUUCACCAUGUUGGUCAGGCUGGUCUCGAACUCCUGACCUUGUGAUCCACCUGCCUUGGCCUCCCAAAGUGCUGGGAUUGCAGGCGUGACAGCCACUGCACCCGGCCGUGCACCUUUUCAUAUGUGUAAGUACCACGUGUGUUUCUUUGAAGUUUGUUUAUCUCCUUUGACCGAUUUUUCUAUUGGUUGUUGAACUUUUUUUGUAGGUUAUUUUUACAUAUCAGGAAUUAACUUUUGUAUGUCACACAUGUAUAUUCUGUUGUAAGAAUUUUAACUAUUUUUCCCCAUUUUGUCAUUUCUGUUGAUUCAGUUUAAAGUGUUUUAUGCCAUGGAGCCAUUUUUUAUUUUUAUAUAGUUAAAUAUAAUCAUGCGUUUUCUUAGGGACUUCUGGGUUCUAUGUCAAUUCAAGAUUAUUAAAAAUGAAAAACAAUAUUCCUUGCUUUCUUCUAGUACUUUUGUGGUUUAUAGUCUUGUGGUUCCUUUCUAACAUUUAAUUUGGUAUAAGGAGAGAGGUACUGAUACAGCUUUAUUUUGCUUCCCAAUGGCUCUCCACUUGUCUCAACACUGCUUACUGAUGGCCCAUUUACUCUUUACCGAUAUACAAUGUCACUGUUGUAAACUAAAUUCCUGUUUGAACUUGAGUGUGUUAUUUGUGGAGUCUGUACUCAUUCCACUGAUUGGUCUGUUCAUUUGCCAAAAUCUCGUUAUAAGAAAUAGAGCAAAUUUAUCAUGCAUUUUAGCAUCUGCUAGGACAAGUAUGCUCCAUUACUCUUCUUUUUCAGAAUUUUCUAGACACACUAGCAUGUUUACUUUUGUGUAGAAAAUUGAAAAUCUGUCUGGAAUUGAAAAUUACCAUGUUGGUACUUCUAUUGAGAUUGCAUUAAAUAGGUCUAUUUAGAUUGAUUUAAGAAGAAUUGACUUUUUAUGAUUAUUAAGUCUUUCUAUCCAAUAACAAGGUUAGCAUUUCCAUUUAUUCAGGUUUUCUUUUGUGUCCCUUAGUAGCAUCUUAAAGUUUCUUCAUGCACAACUUCAACAUUUCUUGUUAAGUUCAUUCCUGGAUAUUUUUCAGUUUCUUCUUAUAAAUGAGUAUUUUUUUUUCAUUUUGUUUUCUAAUCUGUGUAUAUUUUGUAUCUUAUUUUCAUACCCAUCAAUUUUCUGAAUUCUUUUACCUGCUAUAGUAAUUUUUCGAUUGAUUAUCUUUUUGUACUCUCUGCAAGUAGUAAUUUUGCCCACCCUCUUCCCAUGCUUCCACUUACUUCUUUCACCUGUUCUGUUGUAAUGGCUACUACAUCUGGAACACUGUCAAAUAACAGCAGGAAGAAUGGAUAUCUUGGUCUUGCUCCUGAGUUGAAUUAGGAAGGCUUCUAGGGCUUCUGCAUUCUGUAUGAUUCAGGCUUUGGUGAAUGAUCUUGUUAUUUUAUUGAGUUAAUAUGUUAUGAAAGCAUCCUCAAUAAUAUUUUGUUAAAAGUUGGAUAAAAAUUUUACAAUGAAUGUUAGAUAAUUAAAUAAGUUUUCAGCAUCCAGGGAAGCAAUUGCGAUUUUUCUCUUUUGAUCUAUUAGUAUGUUAAACUAUAGUCAUAGCUUUUUCCGGUAUUGGAAAAUAAAUAGGUAAUGUUUAUUCUGUGUUUACUUUGUUCCAGGCCCUAUUCUAAGCACUUUACAUGUGUUAAUUCAUGGAAUCCUCUCAAUAUACUAUAAUUAACCCCACCUGAAAAAUGAGAAAACUAAAGCACAGAGAAGUUAAAUAAUUAUGUGUCCGAGGUCCUAUACCUGGUGAGUACCAGAUCCGGAAUCUGAACACAGGCAGUUUGGCUCCCGAAUCUACAUUCUCACCAGCUACUCUCAGCAACGGUCUUUGAAAUUCUCAUCAAGAGGUAGCAUUCUCUUAAUGUGUACUGGAUUCUCUCUGCUAACACUUUAUUUAAGUGGGUUUUUUGGCCUUGAUAUUAAUAGAUAACUUUGGACUAUAGUUUUUCUGUGUGUAUAUUAUCAUUGUCGAUUUUUGGAAUUGAUAUCUUGUUAGCUUCAAAAACUAAUUUGAAAGUUUUUCUUCUUUUACUGUGGCCUGGAACAGUUUAAGUAGUCCUGGAAUGAUCUUUUCUUUAAAACAUUCUUUGCACCUGUGAAGUGUCUGAUUCUAGUGCUUUUGAGCGAGUUGGAUUUUUGAUAAUGUACGCUAUUUUUUUCCUCUAAUCAUUGGUUAUUUAGAUUUUCUGUAACUUCUAUGAUUGGUUUUUGUAGUUUAUGUUUUUCUAGAAAGCUAUCCAUUUCAUUCAGGUUUUCAACUUUAUUUCAGUAGAGCUGAGCAAAGAAAUAUCUCAAAAUUAUUUUGUUUUGUAUACAUACAAAACAGUUCCCAAUGUACUAUUUUGAUUUUGUAUUAGCCUAUGUUCAUAUUCUUUUCUUAAUUAUUUUAGCCAGCAGUUUUUCUGUUUUGUUCUGUUUUCAGAGAAGUAGCUCAUGGAUUUAUUUGUUGGUUUUCUAUUUUAUUUUAACAUUUUACUCUAUUUGUGGUUACUUCCCUUACCCAUUUCUAAUUUUGUAUAUGCUGUUUCAUCUUUUUAUUUGACUAGGUUGGCUAAUGGUUUGUUAUCUAUUUUAUUGUGUUUUUUUUUUGUUUAUUUAUCCCAAGUACCAUCUUUUGGAUCCAUUUUUAGUUCCAUUUAAAAAACUAAUUCCUUUUGCCAUAUUUAGUUAUAUUUAUUAUUAUUUUUAUAACUUGCCAGAAUGACUGUUCCUAUUAAUUAUUUUCAUUCUUUUAUGUUUCACAACACUAGUUAGUAGAACUAUGUGGUGAGAGGCAAUAUCCCAAAGAUUGUGAUACAUGAUUCUUGCAUUAUCAAUAUUUUCUAGAUAUUGCAUUUUAAAUUUUGUUUUAAUUUUUCUAUGGACCAAGAGUUAAAGAGAUAACUUCUUAGUUUCCAGGUGGUUAAGAUUUUUUUGUCUCUUAUAAAUAGGGUUAUUUUGAUCAAUAUUUCAAGGACAAUUAUAUAAUGGGCAUAUUCUUUGUAUUCAAGGUUUAGAGGUAUAGAUAUGUACAAAUAUAGAUAUAGAGAUACACACUUAUGUGUGCACACACUCCACCCUAUUAACUAUGGGAUUUAAGUUGUCAGUGGCAUUCUUUUUUGUCUACUUGAUCUGUCAUGGCCUGAAAAAGUGCUCACCACAGUUGCCUUUUUGUCUGUUUCUCUUUGUUUUUAUUGCAGUUUUUCUUUUACGGAUUUUGAAGUAAUGCUAUUUGCUGCAUGAAAAUUCACUAAAUUGUGUUUACCAUUAUAAAUUGUCCAUCUUUGAUUUGUAUAGUGUGUUUUUUGUCUUGAAUUUAAUAUUAUGAUCCUUGUUAUUUUUUUGCUUGCACCUAAUUUCCAUGUCUUUGCUUUACCUUUUACUAGCAACCUUUCUGAGUAAUUUUAUUAUAAAUGUAUUUCUUGAAUGUGUAAUGUGGCUGAUUUAUAUCUUAUUUCAGGUAAGAUAUAUAUUCAGAUAUCUUAUUUCAGAUAAGAUAUAUAUUAUUUCAGAUUUAUAUCAAUCUGAAAGUGUUUUUCUUUUAAAAAGGGGAGUUUCCCAUUUACGUGUACUGCUAAACUAUUUCUGAACUUAGUUCUAUCAUCUAACAACUUACUAUUUUACUCUUCCUUUUUUGUUGUUUUCUCUAUGGCUUAGGUUUUAUUGCUUUAUGCUCUGAGUAAAUGUAUUUAUCUUCUACAAGUUUUUAAGAUUGACAUUUGGUUUUUAUUAUUCUAAUGAUACCCCAGUAAAUUUUUUUUUUUUUUUGAGAUGGUGUCUCACUCUUGUCGCCCAGGCUGGAGUGCAGAGGCAUGAUCUUGGCUCACCGCAACUUCCACCUCCCAGAUUUAAGAGAUUCUUCUGCCUCAGCCCCUCGAGUAGCUGGGAUUACAGGCGUGCACCACCAUGUGUGGCUAAUUUUUGUAUUUUCAGUAGAGAUGGGGUUUCACUAUGUUGGCCAGCUGGUUUCAAACUCCUGACCACAAGUGAUCCGGUCUCCCAAAGUGCUAGGAUUACAGGUGUGAGCCACUGUGCCUGGCCCCCAGUAACUUUUAAUAUAUUGAAACCUUCUUGCUUUUUCAAGUUCAAGCAAUAUUUUUCGACACCCUGCUAUGAGAAAUGAGGCAAAUUAGCAAGACUCCCUCUAGCCCUCUGCACCUUCCUGUCCUUAUUAUCCCUGUCACCUUUGUUUGUACUGCAUCACCACGAGUCCAGUUCUUCAUGGCACUUAUCACAGUGCGUAAUGAUGCUACUCAUUCAUUUGUUUACUUGUUUGUUCUUUAACUCCCCCUCUGGACUAUAAAAUACUUGAGGCCAAGGGCUUUGUGUGCUUUUGUGUGAUCAGAAAGAAGUGACACAAUUACAGGAUAAGAGAAGGGUUAUAAGGGGCCUUUAAGAUUAUCUCACCCAAGCUCUCACUUCGAGUUAGGAAAUCGAGCCCUGGCGGGUGGAGACACUGGCCCUACAUCACAGAGCUAGUGAGUGAUGUCACAGAGCUAAUGAAUUUCGAUCACUUCACCCAAGCUUGUUCCAGAACUCCAGGCUCCCUCAAACAUAUGUUAACCACAAGGGAGGCUUCACAUUUACAUAGAACCAAUGUGGAUGAUAUUUUUUAGCAAUUUCAAUUGCUGUCACUGAGCAUCUUUUAAAUGACAUAUUUGAAAAUAGCUCCAUUAUAAUGUACAAUUUAAAAAAAUCAUUGUUUCAUAUGUUCAUAAUAAUCUUGUAACUUUUUUUUUUUUUUUUCGAGACAGAGUCUCACUCUGUUGCCCAGGCUGGAGUGCAGUGGUGGGAUCUCAGCUCACUGCAACCUCCGCCUCCUGGGUUCAAGUGAUUCUUCUGCCUCAGCCUCUUGAGUAGCUGAGACUACAGGUGCGCACCACCAUGCCCAGCUAAAUUUUGUGUUUUUAGUAGAGACGGGGUUUCACCAUAUUGGUCAGGCUGGUCUUGAACUCCUGACCUUGUGAUCCACCCACCUUGGCCUCCCAAAGUACUGGGACUACAGGCGUGAGCCACUGUGCCUGGCCAUAAUCUUGUAACUCUUUACAGAUAUAUUCUGAAUCUAAUCUUUUGAGGUUUCUUGGUGGAGGAAGCCUGAGAGGAAGAACACCCCCAUUGUAAGUUGGGAACCAAGAUUCUAAUAAGUGACACACUCCAAGUCACUUAGAAUGGCGAGAAAUGAUUCCAGAAAAGAAUCUCUGUUUCCUGGCAACCAGCUCAGUACUCUCUGAAGGGCACUUGGAAGGAAAGUUCAAUCAAUGGAAGGGUCAAAUGUUUCUUUUUCAAAUGGCCAUUUUGCAUGUAAUGGCUGUUCUGUGCAGACAUUGUGGGCUGUUCUUCUCUUGUUCAUAAGAUCUAGGGUCCUUCUGUGCAAAUGUAUGUGCUGUGGGUAAGAAAUUACUUCAACUGAGUUUAUUGGCAUUUCUUAGCACAUACGAGUUCGAAGAAAAUUUAUUACAGGUAAGAGCUCUGUCCGUUAAAACACUGCUGUAUAGAUUACAUAGUGAUACAUUUGGUCAGAGAGACAGCCAAGAAAAGCUCAGGACAGAUCUUGCCAAUUCCAAAGACCAGCCUUUCCAAAGGGUCUGUAAAUCUUUCUCCCAACCCCAAAGCCACCUGCUUGGCCCUGAUAAUGUUUUCAAUUUGACUGAAUUUCUGCUAAUGGGAAUGUGCGCAGUGUAGGAAGGGUGCUGGAAUCAGACCGAACCGUUGGUUUGAACCUGAGCUUCUGCAUGCUUUUGAGAAAGGUCUUAUCGUGCCCAAGCCUUCAUUCCUUUAGAUGUGGACAGAGUAUAGUAACAUUAUUUUAGAAGAUUGUUGUGCUGCUUCAACAGGAUUAUGUGUGGGUAUCUGCUACUUGGUAUAUUUAAGCCUUCUCCUGAUCACAACGCAUUACUAGCUGUCAAAAGAUUGGCAGGGAGAUCUGGACCAAAUUGAAAACAGUACUGACCAAUACUAUAUCAUCAUUUGUGCUCAAUCAGAGACUUUGGUUAGUUUCUCUGCCAGCUCUCGAAACUCUGUAUUAAGUGUACGUAAUAACCCCUUAGGACUUAGAAACACGGACUUCCAGUUAACAGAAGAAAAAGUGGUCAUCGAAAAGUAAGGCAAUGAACCUAAAGCUACACGAGUCACUGGCCAGCUCUGUGGAUGAGCAGCUCUCACAAGGGCCACUGUGGCACCCUGGGGGCCGCCUGUGUGUGGUGGGGGACGGGUGCCACAGAUCUCUGGAGCUAUGGUCUCUGGAGGGCUCUCUCUCUUUCUGACUGAUAGGAGAGACUUUCUUAAAUUUCAGUUGUAACACUGCAUACAUUUCUUCCCCUAUUAAUAACCAUUAGUUCUUCGUGUGCUAGAAAUCAUGAGUUAGAGGGAAUAGGACAGUCCUUUGUAAGACAGGCCAUUGAGGAAUAACCCCAAAUAGAAACAGUGAGUUGCAAUUUCUCAUUCAACAAAAAUAUUACUGAGCACUUCAGCUGUGCUGGGCUAGGCGAGUGCUGGCUGAUGGCAGGGACACCAUUGGUGAAUCAGACCCAACCUGUCUAGUGGGAGAGCUACAAAUAACUAGAAAAGACUGUGUGGUGUUCACCUUCACCAAUUUAACCUGGACCUCGAUUCCUAAAGUACAAAAAAAGGAGACCUGGGCCAGGUGAUUCCCCAAGGUCCAUUUUACUUCUUCAACUCAUGUUUAUAUGAAACUUCACCCUCAGUUUCUUAAAAAAACAAACAAAAACAAAACAAAACUAAAGGAUAGAGAAAUAUAAGAAACAUUUUAAAUGAUUUUACAACAUCUUAAUUUCCUCUAUAAAAAGGUUUAAACUGAACUGGUAAUGAUGACUUCAUCCAAGCAGCCAAUUUUAGCUCAACAUUUAGGAAUCGCUGUGGAAGAGUCCCAAGAGCCUUGGCUGUUCUUUCUUUCUUUUUCCGCCUUUGCUCUUUCUGGCCUGCUGCUGCUCAAAGUUUUCCAUGUUGAUUUUUUUCCCUCUCUCCCUGCCUGCUGGUUCCUCUACAUCAUUUACUGCCUGUGUUAAUUCACUUUUAUUUGACCCUUAGCAUCAUCUGUCAAAUUCUUGCAUGUUCACUAGCAUACCAUUGUUUUAGUAGUGGCUCUGCAGCUUCAGUCGACCUCUGGCCACAAUUCCCCUAACUGUUGCUGCUGUUUCUUCUUCUUUCCUCAUCUGGCUAGCUAGAAAUGGGUGACAUUAGCAUUGAAAGGUCUGUUCCCGUCCAUUCCUGUUUUCCUAAAAUUUCAGCUUUUGAAACUGAACAAAGUGAUACUGUAGUAAAUAUGCCUGUGCUAAGAAAACUGGGACUUUCCUUUAAAAAAAAAUGGAGUUUCAAAUUAUAAUGAAUUUGAAUUUUUCCUUUGAAAACAUAUUACAUUCAAUUAAGCUGUAUUGCAAGCUAGGCUCACAGUCUGUGAUUUAUAUUGUUAUAAUUAGCAGAUGAAAUAAAGAUUAUAAAAUACACUGAACAGGGAAAUGCAACUUGAGAAUAUGUUAGAAGUGUUCAUUCUAAACAUUGCAGUGUUUGUUUCCAUCACCCUGUUUCUAAUUAGAAGCACAAGCACAAACUAAAACUAAAGGGUAGGAUAAGAAAUGGAGGCUAUUUUAGGCCAGAUGCAGUGGCUCAUGCCUGUAAUACAGCAUUUUGGGAGACUGAGGCAGGAGGAUCACUUGAGGCCAGCAGUUUGAGACCAGCUUGAAUAAUACAAUGAGACUCCACCUCUACAAAAAAUAAAAAUAAUAAAAAGUAAAGCUAGAUAUGGUGGCUUGUGCCCAUAAUCCCAGCUACCUGGGUAGCUGAGGCGGGGAGGAUCAUUUGAGCCAGGAAGUCGAGGCUGCAGUGAGCCAUGAUCACACCUCUGCGCUCCAGCCUGGAUGACAGAAUAAGACCUUGUGUCAAAGAAGACCCAAUUUAGGGUAAAUAUCAGACUUUCUCAGGUUUGCCCUAAGUCACUCAAUGUUUUUGUCCUUUCUUGGUAUAUAUUUCAGUCAUUAUUUUGUUUAUUGUCCAUCCCUCCCUCCUCUAGGGUGUAAGCUCCAUGAGGGUAGGGAGUUCUGUUGUUUUUGUUUAGUGCUGUAUCUUUAGGGUAUAGAAUCAUGCCUGGCAUAUAGUAGGUGCUCUCUCUAUAUUUGAGUAAAUGAAAGACUAGAGGAAUAGUCAUAUUUGCAGGACUAAAUUCCAGUAUUGUAAAAGGAAAUUACUAUACUGCAGGCUAAACAUGGUAAAUGGAACACAUGUGUUUAUCUCCGUUCCCUCCAGAAAUGCCUCUAAAAUAACAUAAAAGGCCUAAACUCACAAAGACUAAAAGAACUAGAGAGAAGACUGCAGCAGAUAAGAGAUUUCAACAAAAUUUUGAUGGCUGAUCACCUUGAUGAUUUUGUCAUGCUGGGAAAAGCUGAAACCUAAGCCCAUGGGGGAGAAGCCAAUUAAAAACAAGCUAUUUGUACCACAGCUCCCUAGAAAGGCUCAGGAUUUGGAGGCACUUUGUGCCUCUCAUGUACCCUUCUCAGGAAGCUACUGGAGGAUGUACUCCACUAAAACAGGGUAGAAGUCAAGGAAGAAAAAGACCUAGGGUUGGGGAAACAGGAAUCCAACACAGGAGAGAGAUAAAGGACAUUUCCAGGAUGAGAGUAGAGAGAAGUCUCAGCCUGACAGGUUAACAGGCCUAGGGAGCGACCAGUCCAGAUGGUGGCAGGGGAACAAAAGACUCCAAGGUUAAUGUCUUAAAGAAAUAGAAAACAUGAUACUUUCAGGAACCGUUUCUCUAGGUGUUAAAGAAGUAGAAGCAGCAGCAACAACCUGGUGUACUUGAACGUUCCCAGAGGAGAUUUUACAGUUCUGUCAGAGGAUUUAGGGUCCCAUUAAUUAUACAAAUGAGAAAACAAAGCAAUUAUAAUCUCCAGGGAAAGCAAACAGCUAUAUGAAAAAGGAAAUGGAAUUAUAUUUUACUACUAAGGCUUAACUAUGAUUAAUAUUUACUUAUUCAUCAUAAUGCUAUAUAUAUUGGGAUGUUCAAGGGGAGGGCAAGUGUUUGGUGUGUGUGGGGAGGAGACAGUAUAAGAAAAUAAAACCGGUAUCUUCCAUAACUGAGAAUCAGUGGAUGCUAUCUAAAACUGAAAAAUCAUGGCUGGGUGCAGUGUCUCACACCUGUAAUUCCAGCAUUUUGGGAGGCUGAGGCGGGCAGACCAUCUGAGGUCAGGAGUUCGAGACCAGCCUGGCCAACAUGGUGAAACCCUGUCUCUACUAAAAAUACAAAGAUUAGCCAGGUGUGGUGGCACAUGCCUGUAAUCCCAGCUAAUUGGGAGGCUGAGGCAGGAGAAUUGCUUGAACCCAGGAGGUGGAAGUUGCAGUGAGCUGAGAUCGCGCCACUGUACUCUAGCCUGACUGACAGAGCGAGACUCCGUCUCAAAAUAAAAUAAAACAAAACUGAAAAAUCAAAAAAUAGCAGUAGAAACAUAGUAUUCAAAGCUAUGAAGGUAAAAACUCAAAUAAAUGGCUAAAAUUUAAAAGUGCUGGCCUUUGGAAAGCUUACAAAGCUAUGUGCACAUGUGUUAUAUUUUUAUAUAAGUAAAAAUAAAAUUAGCAAGAGGAAAUGAGGCUUUCAUUAUACACCUCAAGAGAAGGAUCUUGAAGUCAGAUGUGUUCAUCUUUCAAUCUCUAUAUGUAGAAGAUAUUUGAUAAAUGAUGAAUGAAUGAGUGAAUGGAGAGCUGUCAUGAACUUAUUUAGAGUUCAUAACAUAUCCCUGGCAGCUGGUGGAAUGAUGAGAAGUUCUGCAAGAGAGAAUGAUUUAGGAAGCUUAGAAAAGAUAUGCAAUUGUGUAUCCCACUACAAUGGAGCCCAAGGUUUCUGCUCAGUUUAACCUAUUACACAGUGUAAGGCCGGCAAAAAUUGUUCAUUUCCAUAGAGCUGACUUUGCAGAUUUAAAAAGUCCUGAAUGGGAAAUAAAUAUGCUGCUCUUAAUAAAUGUCUAGUUAAGGUAUAGUUAAUAUAGUUAAAUGUGAAAGUGUAUAAAUGAUAUAUUUUAAUAGCACCCAGAGCACAUUUCAGGACUGAGAUAAAUGCAAACUUUUAAAAAACUCUAACAUCCUCUAAACACAUUGCCUUAUCCUAGUAAAUGAUAAAUUACUAAAGAAAAAUGUUAUUCUGCAAUGUUUUGAAGAUUAAGUAGCAUAUGAGUAAAAUUAACAUUGUGUGUAAGUGAAGCUGUGACUAUAUCAUGUCAGGUUGGUAAUAAAAUUGCAAAGGAGAGAGAAUUAGAGUUUUAUGCCACAGAAAUGGAAGUAGUUUUCAUUUUAAUUGUUUUUCUUUAAAUGGAUUGUUUCUGUAGUAUACUAUAUUCUUUCCAGUUCACAGAUGUUCAGGAGGGAUAAAAGAGUUAUAAAAUAUUCUAAUGUGAGCUUUUAAAAUAGCUUUUUUGGAACAGGAAAAGAGCAGUCUAAAGAAUUCAGAAUUUUUAGAGUACAAUAAAGCAUUCAUAUUGCAAAUUUAGUAAUUUGUGUUUUGUGAUAUGGAAAAAUAAAUGGCCUUUUAACAUUGACUCCAGUGCUGGCCUGUUAGUCACAUACAUUCACUUUAUGAUUUUAUUUUUAAUGUCAGAGUUCUGACAGUUCACUUUCUUCCUUGCCUCCUCUCUUGCUAGCAGUUCUUUAUUCCUGGCCUUAGGAAAGUCCACCUUUUCUCUAGCAUCUAAAUCUGGCCCUGGACUUUGCCUGGGCUGACCUGGAUGGAUGAAUUUGUUGUGCUAAUAUCAGAGGCUUCCAGCUGUGCCUCUGCCACUGGCCAGAGUUCCUUCCCCCUCCAUCCUUCCAGCAGGCCCCACCCAGGUCCUCCUCAGAGGCCCUCCGAUGGCACAGAGCCAGGGUGCUGUGCUCCUUAUACUUGCUGCACUUAGUAUUUCUUGUCUACUUCUCCCCAUCUUCAUAUCUUUCCAUGAUUCUUUCUAAAACUACAUUUAUCCUUUGUGCUGUGUACAAAAGCUCCUGUUUAUUUCAGGGCUCUGAUCUUCUGUUACCAUCACAGAUGCUUUUUCCCUGCUGCACACAUGAUCAGAGCCUAAGAUGUAUCCUGAGAAAUGGGCACCAUUGUGGAAACCAACAUUGGGAUCAAAAUGCCACUUUAUUUAUUUGUUUAUUCAACAACAACAGCAACAGAUAUCUACUGAGUGCCUGUUAUGCACGAGGUGCUGGGCUGGUUUUAUAAUGCUGAGCAAGAGAAACAUGGGCUCAGCUCUUACGCAGCUUACCAUCUGGUAAGCAAAAUAUACGUUGAAAUGAAUUCGCCAAUGAAUCUAUUACUUUCCAGUAUCAUAAGCACCGGGAGAUAGAUGUACAGGGUGAUAUAUGUACAUAAAGCAGGGGUAUCUGACCAAAUUUGGGGGUUAGGAAAAGUUUUCUUCAGGAAGUGACACUUAAACUAGAGUCAGCUGGAGAAGAGCAGAGCUUCCUCUGCAGAAGCUCAGGAGUGAAGGCCUUGAGGCAGGGGAGAGAGUGGAGAAUUUGAGAAACUGAGAGAAGGAUCCUUGCCCUUCAUUGAUGAGGAGGCAUUGAAGGAUGAGGCUGAAUGGGCAGGAGGAGAUGUUAUGGAGGGCUGGCACGUGAGGGGCAACAGAGGCUUGAAUGGGAGCACGAUGGCAUCAGACCUGCACUCUGACAGAAUGAUUGCAGGGUGUAGGUGUGGAUGGGGGACAUCUGUUCCAAUUCUCCCUCAUAUCCGAGGUAAGCUGGUACCCCAAGGCUCCCUGGGUUCACCCAUCACUUCCUGUGGUCCUGCCACAGGGUCACACACAAGCGAGUGAGGGAACCAGAGGGCAAGGAGUGGUACACACCAGCCUGGAGAAGUAGAUGUGAGAGAUGCAUGCUGCCUUGAUUAGAAGACUUCUAGAUUUUUCUUUGGGCAUUUCUCUUAUUUUUCAAUGUACAGUCAAUGCGUGGUUUUUAACCUUGCUUCUGCCUGAUCCUCUGAUACCUCUUGGAGGUAGAAGAGGAAACACUAACGUAGCAAAGGCAAAGGGGAGUACUCUGUUGUUUUGUAUAAGGGCUGUAUCAUCAACCAAAAAAAUGAAGCUACACUUGAGGUAGGGGAAAGUAUGUCAUUUCGAAUGGAAAAUCCAGUCGUUAACUACAUUUUAAAAAUUAUUAACAAGAAAAGGACCAAUGAUAGAAUGAGACAUUAAAGAAAAACACAGACAUCAGAGUUUCUGUUUCCCACACUGCAAAGUUGAAUUCCAUCAGUCAAGCCAGAAGGUUAGGAUGACCCUGCUCUUCUAGCCUCCUCUCUGUAAUCCAAUACAAACAUAUUCUUUGCGGAAAGCAACACUGUUUGGUGAUAUUUUCUGUUAUGUCAGCUAUUUAGAGAAUAAGUUAUUCUACUCAUCACUCCAUGUAUAGUUUUCCACCACAGGGCAUUUUCCAAUUUUUUCCUUGUAAUGCAACACUUGGUUUCAUGGGCAAAAAUGUUUUCUGAGUAUAAGAACAACUUCCUUCUUCCCCUCCUCUCUCCACCCUCCUGUCCUUCUUUCCACCCUUUCUUCCUUCCUUUUUCCUUCCCUUUCCCUCCUCCCGUCAAUAAGUAUUGGUUAAGACAUUCAAAGCACUAACUUCAAAAUCAAAUUUGUGCGAAGUGGCGGUUUUGAUCAUCAUCCCAGCAUUGUCCUGAGAUGACUCCCCGUUGAUUGAUGACCUAAUUCUGCCUGGUCAAAUCAGAGGAAGUCUUGGCCACAUGGACUUUGUGGCCACAAAUCCUGUCUAGCACAUUGAUUUUGAUUCAGCUGGGUCUUCCCUAUUUGGACACCUUCUUUGGAGAUGUUUGAGGAAAGAUGGAAUGUUGGAGGAGGGGGUUGUCUUCUUUUCUCCAAAACAAAAAGGAGAGAGAAGGUGACAAUACAGCUCUGCACAAUAGAAAAGGAAAACCCAGGCCCCUGAGUGAGAGCCAAGGAGCACUGCAGAGACUGAAGCUUGUGCCCACAGGUAAACGACAGCAGCUCCCCUACAUAGGAGCAGGGCCACUGCUAUGGAGUCCAGCAGGGAGAGAAGGGGGCAGGCAGGAGAAGCAGGGGGAGAUUUGCUUACCCGGCUCUCAACAGUGCUCGACUAGGGCAAUGUGGCCUCCCUGACCAGGUGGUGGAGGCACUGAGGACAUCCCACAUCUCCCUUUGGCACCAUUCCUUUGCACACCUGGCCACCCAUCAUGCACUCAGCAAGCAUCUGUUGAGUACCUUGUAUGGACAUGACAUUGAGAUGCUCACAUUGUGUCACUCCUCAAGGCACAUAAAGUCUAGUGGGAGGCAAAUAAAUAGACCACAGAACACAAUUUGUGGCAGAGCAAAUGAAGAAGGUGCUUUAACAGAGGGACAUUGGCAAAUAAAGAAGGUGCUGUCACAGACGGACAUUUUCAGGCACACAGGGAGAAGGGGAGAAUUUAUUAUGGCUGGGUCUGAGAUUUAAAUACGAGAAUAUGAUACUUAAAGUGACAAGGUCAUGCAACAUACGUGUGAGGUGUCUGAUAAACCUUCAUGUCAAAGAAGCCUAGUGUAUGAAAAUUUAAUCUCGGAAAAGUUAGGUGGGGCUGUUACUUUAUAAAUAGGUGCUUUACAACAAAAGAUUCUUAAAAUAGUAAGUAUGUCUUAUGUUAAUAUGACAUAAAAUAUUAACAGAAGGAAUAGACUUAAAGGGCUUUUGAAAUGUUAAUAUAGCUAUGAAAAUAUGGUUCAAGCUACUAACAUGUCAUUGCACAUUAUUUUUCAUAAAUAUUUCUGUUGCAUAAGCUAAAACAUACCUGUAUUCGGGAUCAUAAGUGCAAACACCUCUAGGAAUAGGACCCAGGCAUCAGGAGUUUUUAAAGCUCCCAGGGUUGUUCUGCUGUGUGGCCAACACUGAGGACCACUGCUAUGGAGUAGCGCCCCUCAAACUUGGAUGUGCAGAGGAAGCUCAGGGGGUCUCUUAAGUGGAGGUUCUGACUCAGUAGGUCUGAGGUGCGGUCUGAGAGUCUGCAUGUCUAAUGGGAACUCAGGUGGUGGUGAUGUUGCCAACCCAAGACCACAUGGUGGAAAUGAUGUUGGUUUUAAACCAUGUGCACGGUGCAUCCUGGGGAGCCUCUGAUUGGACAGUGGGGCCUUGAUUUUUCCAGGGCUUCUCAUCCUGAAGUACAAAUUGAAUUACACAACAAUAACAACUCAGAUGCCACCAGCUCUCAUUUGAGCCAGUUCUCACAGGUGUACCACACUCCUGUCCCCACUCAUGGAAAGAGAGUGCUGUAAAUAUGUCCAAUAGUCGUGUCAUAGUUCUUAGGGGUAUGUCACAUGCAUGUCCAGUUAACUGCCCCAUAAUCAUUUCUCUCUCUUGUCUUGAUUAGCCUUGUUACCUUGUACUGUGACAGCAAACCCCAGCCCUACACCAGACCCACAACGAUUCCAAUGGGGGACAGCCAGGAGACGACUCUAGCUAAAAGACACCAUCCUGUCCUCAGAAUCACUGGUCCCAAGCAGCUCUUAUAGCUCAGGGUGUUAGGUUUCAUCAUCCCUUAUAAUGAGUUCUCUCUGGAAGGUCUUCAUGGCUCACAGUAAAAAAAAUUCAGGGGGCCCACCCUACCAAGGCAACAGCCUUGUCUGAAUCCCUGCUCAUUUUCACAUAGGAACCAUAGCCAUACCAAGUUUCGUUUUGUUGCUGGAAAGAAGAGGACAAGCCUAGUAGAAAAGGGAGUAUGUGGAGACAGGAGGAAAAGAGUUCUCCGGGGAAAUUCAUGCCAAGGACCUCUGUAGCCACAGUCUCCACAGCAGUGGGAACACUGCCUGGGACUCUGAUCAAUGGGUUGUAUCUAUGCAGGGAGGGCUGGACUUGCUUGCAGUAUGUUAGUACAGGGCCUUAGGACCUUCUCAGAUGGCCUUCACAGAUGGCGUAUCUCAUCCUACAAUGGACAUGAUGUGACUGGGCAGAAACCUCAGUUAGGUGCAGAAACCUCAUCAGUAAAGGUUUCUGUGGUUAAGGGAGCACCCCACCUCCGUCUGCUGAACCAAUCUCUCUAUAAACUCUUCUCAUCAUGUUUCCAGGUACUCUGUUUCCUCUCUCCAUUUUUUCCAUUCCCAUCAUGUGUGUGCAAGAUGGACACAUAGACGUGGCAUGUGUCUACACCCUAUGUUAUUGUUAAACACACAAUUAUCUUUUUCUUUGCCAAAAUGCAUAUUUUUGUUGUGUUAUUUGAGGAGCUACUAACAGUUAAAGUGGCCCUCAUAAUGAUUUAAAAUGUCCAUAUGCAGUAAUAUACAGCCUUCAGAAAAUACUGGCACAGUGUCUAUUAACAUACUGCAGUGUGUGUGUGUAUAUUUUAAGACAGGAUCGUGCUCUGUCACUCAGACUAGAGUGUAGUGGUAUGAUCAUGGCUCACUGCAGACUCAAACUCCUGGGCUCAAGCAAUACUCCCACCUCAGCCUCCAUAGUAGCUGGGACUACAGGUAGGUGCCACCAUGCCUGGCUAAUUUUUUUUUUCCUUGUAAAGAUGAGGUCUCACUAUGUUUCCCAGGUUGGUCUUGAACUCAAGGAAUUCUGGCCUCAAGGAAUCCUCUUGCCUUGGCUUCCCAAAGUGCUGGGAUUACAGGCAUAAGCCACUGCACCCAGCUCUGCAGUAUAAAAUAGUAAAUUCCAGGAAAAUUUAAAUGAGGCCAGAAUUUCCAAACCAUUCUGCUGCCAUUUAUAACAAAUGGGCCUAUCAUAUUAUCUAUUUCACUCUUUUGUGUGUAUUUCUGUUGUUUCAUAAAUACAACUCUCUCGACUAAGUAUUGCAUGCUUUCGGAGUAGAAUGGAGAUGCCACGUUGUUCACAUCCUCAAAGGUUUUGUUUAAAGAGACAAACAGCUUAAGCAACACCCCAAUUGGUAAGUUUAGCACAGUUUAGAUGUAGAAAAGCAGAGAUGUGCCUUACUGCAAAUCACCGCCUCCACAUUGCCAAUAUGUGAAAACCCAAACUUCCCAAACACACAAAUUAAAUUAAUGCUGGAUGUUUCAUUUUACAAAGCUUUCAUUAGAUAGUGGGUUCCUAGAAUGCAUUCAUGUGAAGGCAGCUCUUCAGAAGUCAAUCUCCUGCACAGUAUGAAGCAGGCCUUCCUCUCAUUCUGCAUGAAACAUUCCAACUAUUUUUAAAUCAUGAGGUCUAGAUUUAACAGCUUUACAAGGAAAAAAUUAUCUAGGUUUUUACAUGUGUAAUGAGAGGAUACAGUAAGGCCAAAAACCAUCUUGAGCCAAGAAAAUUUAGUCUUGGAGCAAACAGUGUUUAAGGAUUUCCGAUGUUACAGCAGCCCCUGGCAGAGCUGCAAAGAAAAGCCAAGAGAUCUCCGUUCAAGUUACAGCCUGGGGCCAGCUUGAGCACGUGGGUGCCACUACUGCUGGGGCUUCUGAUAGAUCAAUGAGGGAGUCACUGGCUGAAGAACACAAUCAUGUCCACUGUAUGGGCAGAGAUCACUAGGCAUUGGUUCACUGUUCACUAGUUUUUUUCCCUACACCUGGUGGGUGCAUGGAACUAGACUUAACCAGGUUAUUAACAAAGUAUUUCUGGACUGGAGAGAUCUUAGAAAACCAUGUACAUCAACUCCCUCAUUUAUUAUGCAUGAGAAGGCAAAUAACUUGCCCAGGACCAUAACACAAGUAAAGGUUAGAGUUGAGACUGUAGUGCUCUUGGCUUCUAGUGCAAGACUCUUUCUGUACCUGCUACCAUAACUCUUCAUCUCCCACCUCCAAAAUGGGGCAACUCCCUGGGGUUAACCUGCCAGUUAACCUGUUCAUCACUAAAAAAUGACCAUGGUGAAACCCUGGGCACAAAGCUUCUCUAGCCACAGUGUGGGCCCAGCAGCAGGUUCAUGUAACAACCCUGGGCUUUUACAGACUCACCUGCUCCCGAGCCUGGCUCCCUUUUAUUCCGCAGCCUCACUCCUAACAGGCGUCUCAGCCGUCUCUGAUUCUCUCCUUGUGGAAACCUUAGGACCUAAUACCUUCAGCUCCUGCAUGCCCAGCCAUGGCAGGGCAUUAAUGCUGGCUUUAUUUCCUCCAGAAAUGAGCAAUAGCUCUUCAAGCAUUUUCUACAGGCUCCACAUGGCUCCAAGUCACAGCCCAUGGCCACAAGCACUGCCAGCUCCCUCAACAAAAUUGGGAAGUUUGUGGACCCCAUGAGAGGCCUUAUUUAUUACCUCUCCCAGAGAAAGCAGACUGGGGCAAUAAUCGUCAAAGUAAUAUUUACCCCUUAAUAACUGCCUAUUUUUAUACUGGUGUUAGAGGUUAAUAGCAGUGUUAUUUACUCCUCUGCCAAAAAGAACUGAAGGAUGUGAAAUGUAGCAGUCAAUAAAGCUCAACAGUCAGAUAAAUAACAUUCAUAUUAUUUCCUGACAAAUCCUUCUGCAACCCAGGGAUAUAAAUAACCCUAAGAAAGCACUUCCUGCAUUACAAGUUUACUGAUGUGUAAAAUGUAAUUUAAAAGAGAGCCUCGAACCCUAGAAGCACUGGACUCUGUAACUGUGUACACCAACAGACAGCCCCACGAUUGUGCACACGCACAUGUGUGGAGGCCAUCCUCGAAUGCACAUUCAUUCCCAGACACACUUAUUAUCGCUAGUCCGUGAGUGUGGUCAUUCCUCUCAUUUCCUCUUGACUUCCGGGACGUGCACUUCUGCUUUUCCUCCUACCUCUUUGAUGACCUUUCUUAGUUUUCUCCUCUCAUGCUCUAAAGAGGACCUCAUCCCAGUCCCAGGCAUUCUGUUCUGGUGCUUUCCUCAGUGGUCCCGCCUGUCUUCGCAGCUGAAUCACAAAUAUGUAUCCCCACCCACCAUCUCCCUGAGCUCUAACUCCCUGACAUUCCAACUGGCAUGUAUAAGAGGCACCUCAGUCAUGGUCUGGCCACGAUGUGGCUCUAAAUCCCACCCUUGGCCUGCUCCCCAGUCCCUCAGCCCCUGUGGUCUUCCCCAAACCAGCAAAUGGAAUUACCUUUCAUGCAGCUAUUUCAUGAAAAUGCCUAGCAUUUUUUUUUUUUUAAGUUCUAGGGUACAUGUGCACAACAUGCAGGUUUGUUACAUAUGUAUAUAUCUGCCAUGUUGGUGUGCUGCACCCAUUAACUCGUCAUUUACAUUAGGUAUAUCUCCCAAUGGGAUCCCUCCCCCCUCCCCCCACCUCACAACAGGCCCCAGUGUGUGAUGCUCCCUACCCUGUGUCCAAGUGUUCUCAUUGUUCAAUUCCCACCUAUGAGUGAGAACAUGCAGUGUUUGGUUUUCUGUCCUUGAGACAGUUUGCCCAGAAUGAUGGUUUCCAGCUUCAUCCAUGUCCCUACAAAGGACAUGAACUCAUCCUUUUUUAUGGCUGCAUAGUAUUCCAUGGUGUAUAUGUGCCACAUUUUCUUAAUCCAGUCUAUCAUUGUUGGACAUUUGGGUUGGUUCCAAGUUUUUGCUAUUGUGAAUAGUGCCGCAAUAAAUAUAUGUGUGCAUGUGUCUUUAUAGCAGCAUGAUGUAUAAUCCUUUGGGUAUAUACCCAAUAAUGGGAUGGCUGGGUCAAAUGGUAUUUCUAGUUCUAGAUCCUUGAGGGAUCACCACACUGUCUUCCACAAUGGUUGAACUAGUUUAUAGUCCCACCAACAGUAUAAAAGUGUUUCUAUUUCUCCACAUCCUCUCCAGCACCUGUUGUUUCCUGACUUUUUAAUGAUCGCCAUUCUAACUGGGCCUAGCACCUUUUUAAUCCCCUCUGAUAUUCCCCUGCUCCCACUUGGUAUUAAAGCCACCAGCAAGUCCUGCAAGCCUCUAUCCCUGUUCUUUCUGUCUCUGCCCCAUCCCGCAGUCCAAGGUCUCCAUCUUUCUGAUUGCUUUCCCAGCUGCUACUCCAGCCCCUCAUUCAUUCCCCUCCCAGAAGAGUGAGCUUUUAAAAUAUGAAUCCAAGGUCUUUCCUUGGCCUACCGGCCCUAUGUGACCUGGCCCUGUUCCUCUCCAGCCCCUCUCCCUCUCUCAUAGCCCUCCAGCCACAAUGGCCACCUCUUAGUUCCUCAAACAGAUCAAGCAGGCUCCUUCUACCCAGAAUGCUAUGGAUCCAGUGUUCCCAUGCUGGCUUCCUCCUGUCACUCUGUGAGGGGUCCUUCCAACCAUACAGUCUAAAUACACGCUACUCCCUUUAUGACACCAUUACUAUUUUCUUCAUAGCACCCAUCAUUUCUUGAAAUUAUGUUGUUCCUAGGUGUGCUUGUGUGUUCAUUAUUGAUCUCUACCAGACUUCGACCUCCAGAAGAGCAGGGUCUUGGGCUGUCAUCUUCAUCAGUGUACAUCCAGUGCCUGGGGAGCCAUCAGGCACACAGCAGGCAUCUGUAUUAGUUUGUUAGGGCUGCCAUGCAAAGCAUCACAGACUGGGUGGCUUGAACAACAGAAAUUUAUUUUCUUAAGAUUCUGGAAACUAGAAGAAAUCCAAGAUCAGGGUGUCAGCAGUGUUGUUCCUUCCUUCUGAGGCUUCUCUCCUUGGUUUGCAGAUGGCUGUUGUCUUCCAGUGUCUUCACAUGGUCUUCUUUUUUUUUUUGAAACACAGUCUCUGUCGCCCAGGCUGGAGUAUAGUGGCGCAAUCUUGGCUCACUGCAACCUCUGCCUCCCGGGUUCAGGCAAUUCUCCUGCUUCUGCCUCCCAAUUAGCUGGGAUUACAGGCACCCGCCACCACACACGGCUAAUUUUUUUGUAUUUUUAGUAGAGAUGGGGUUUCACAAUGUUGGCCAGGCUGGUUUCGAACCCCUGACCUCAAGUGAUCCACCCACCUCGGCCUCCCAGAGUGUUGGGAUGAUAGGCGUGAGCCACCGCACUGGGCCCACAUGGUCUUCUUUAUGCAUCUGUGUCCUAAUCACCUCUUCUUGUAAGGACAUAUAAGUCCCAGUCAUAUUGGAUUAGGGCCCACUCUAAUGACCUCAUUUUAACUUGAUCCCCUCUUUAAAGACUUUGUCUCCAAAUACAGGCACAUCCUAAGGUACUGGGGGUUAGGGCUUCAACAUAUGAAUUUUGGAGGGAACACAAUUCAGUUCACACCAGCGUCUAAUACAGGGUAAUAGUGAUGAUGAUGAAAACUACCAUUAUUGUGAUUUUAUUAUGUGCUAGACAUUGUUUCGAGUACUUUUCCUGUAUUAUCUUAAUCUUCACAAACACCCUGUAAGAAUGUCAUUAUUAUCAGUUCCAUUUUCCAGGUGAGAAAACUGAGGCACAAAGAAAUUGGGUGACCUGCCUGAAGUCACAGAUUAUAUGUGGUAGAGCCUGUUUGAUUCUAGCAUCUGUGGUCUUUACCACCACGCUUUCCAGCCCCCUGGUAUUUACAAACCUCUGUUGAAUGAAUGGACGCAGGGGAAGUGACCCGGAAUUCAUCAGGUUCACAUGCACAGCAGCUAAGGCAGGCACAUGGCCAUGCUGCACACAUUGUUUCCAUGUAACUAAAUUUAUCCAUCUUUUUCUUUAUGGCUUCCAUGAUGGCUCCUUGCCUUGCUUAGAAAGGUCUUUCCUUCUCCAACAUUUACAAAUUUGGGAAUCGGUUUUUCUCCCUCAUUUUGAGACAUGAAUUGCUACUUAAAUUGAUCAUGAGAGUCACUCUUUUUCAGGGUGACUUAAACAAGGUUUUUCUUUUGUUCAUUCUUUUUUUUUUUUUUGGAGACAGGGUCUCACUCUGCUGCCCAAGCUGCAGUACUGUGGCCAUGAUAGCUCACUGCAGCCUCCUGCCUCAGCCUCUUAAGUAGCUAGGACUACAGGUUUGUGCCACAACACCCAACUAAGUUAAAAAUAUACACUUUUUUUAGAGAUAGGGUCUUGCUAUGUUGCCCAGGCUGGUCUCAAACUCCUGGUCUCAAGUGGUCCUCCCAUCUCAGCCUCCAAAGUGCUGGGAUUACAGGCAUGAGACAUCGUGCCCAGCCUCCAAUGUUUUUCUUAAUCCACAAAACUGGAACUUUUGGCCUUGAAUAUAACGGUGAUGGAGAGUUGAAAAUGUGUUGUUUCCAAACCUUCACCAGGACUUCUCCCCCAAAAAUCUCUUCUCACGUCAUGUUGAACAGUUCGUUGGUAAGUGAUGUGACACAUUUUUCUAAGCCAGAAAUCUCUGAACUUUUUCCUGAUGUCAGCUACUUUUGACUUCUCUGAAGUCCUCAGACAAAGCAGGGAGGCAAGUGUGGGUGGUGGGGUGGGAGGGAAGGUGGCUGUGGCUGUAGGCAUGUGACUAUUCUUCUCUCCACUUUGGAAUCCCUAAAAAUCAUGGCAGACAGAAUGGGAGGACAGGCCUUGCAGUGAUCAGGGAAAAAGGGGAGUGAAAAUGCAAGAUGCUGCAAGAAAAUGAUGUGACCAAGCUGACUUGGAGAUUGACCCAGUAAAACUUUGAACUUUAUUAGUUGUAAAUAUCUUAGUCUGUAAAAAAAAACAAAUACUGCUGAAAUAUUCUUAGUGUGGCAUGUCCCAUUCUGGAAAUUUCAGGUAGUUGCAGUCUGGCAUCAUGUGGCACAUCAUCACUGUCUCUUCUGCAAAUUUCUGAGAAUAAGAAGAAUUGGUUGAAAAAACUUCUAACAUCUCCAUCGGUUUGUAAUCAGCGAAUACAGUAAGUGCAGGGAGUUGAUGACUGCUUGCAGAGUACAUUAUUUUAUGUAUCUUGUGGGAGAGGUUGAGAAGGUUCUGUUUAAAAAGGUUACCCUAAUAAAUGAUUUACCAGGGCAGCCAGAGAUCAAAGAAAUUGCUCAGAAAUUGCAUCUCAGGGCACCUAAAAUUCAGAGUUUAUGGAAGCCCUCAGAACCCCAAACCUUUUAUGACUUUUAUAUUAGCUAACCACUAAAUUUUCAAAGCAGUGUGACUGCCAUGGGUUUUAAUAAGAGCUGCAUGGCCCAAUCCCUCCUCUGUUAAUAAAUGGAACGACGAUGCCGUGAGAGACAGUUUGAAAAUAUGGCACAUGUCAUGGAAGAUCUAAUACGGAGCAAGGCUCAGGCUGGAUGGUGGAAAUUUUAAAUUCUGAUGAGAAAAAAAUUGACCCAAAACAAAUCCCACAUACUUUGAAACAAAACGAUAGGAAUUCUGCCUUGGACGUAGUGCCUUAGCUGGAGUCUGCACAUCAGAGAACUGUGAGAGGCUGAAGAGCUCCAGAGAUUAGAAACCCAGUUUAGUGCUCUCAGAGCAAGCUGGGCACUGACUUACUCCUCAUCACCGUUGUCAAUGAUGAAAGUUACCCAGCACCCCUAGGACUUUAGAGAGUUUCCCUAGAACUAGCUGGUGUUCCUCUUCCCAAACAAGCCAUGGUCCAAUCUCAAAAUGGAGAACCAAAAAUAGGAAGGAUAGGUCCUCAAAGUGUGUUCCAGGGACCCUUUGAGGGUUGGUCCCAGAGACCCUUUUAGGUGGUGUGUAAGGUCAAAACUAUUUUUUAAUAAUUCCAAGACACUAUUUGCCUUUUCCAUUCUCAUUCUCACAUGAGCAGCCCGCAGCAAGACUGACAGAAGGAUCACCCAACUGAAUGCUGCUCAGAUUGCAGAAUUAUGAGCACAUAAAAUGGUGGUUGUUUCCAGCCACUGAGUUUGGGGUGCCUUUUUUGCAGCCAUAGAUCAUUAUCAUUGGAAGAGUCAUGCCAGGGAUGCAUGUUGAGGCUGGUAGUAUUGGUGACUUUUAUUGAUGACCUUUUUUUUUUUUUUGAGACAGAGUUUUGCUCUUGUUGCCCAGGCUGGAGUGCAGUGGCGGGAUCUCGGCUCACUGCAACCUCUGCCUCCCAGGUUCAAGCGAUUCUCCUGCCUCAGCCUCCUGAGUAGCUGGCAUUACAGGCAUCCGCCACCAUGCCCAGCUAAUUUUUGUAUUUUUAGUAGAGACAGGGUUUUGCCAUGUUGGUCAGGCUGGUCUUGAACCCCUGACCUCAGGUGAUCCACCUGCCUUGGCCUCCCAAAGUGCUGCGAUACAGGCGUGAGCCACUGCACCUGGCUGGUAUUGGUGAUCUUGAUGGGGGAACCUUCUAAUUUUUUUUCAGCCAUUUGAGGACUGAGUCUGGGUGUCACCAAGGAGAACGUUUAAUAAAGGAUCACUCAUAGAAAUGGAGAUCAGAAUUACUGAUUUCUUGGCAUAUUGAUGGCUUGAAUCAGAAAAUGAGGGUAUUCGCACAGCCAUGGUUUCCCCUCACAGACAGAACUAAAAGUGGUUACUGACAGUUGAAGGAGAUUUCUGCCGAUGAAUAACUUUGAGGAAAUUCGUCGAAAUGAUGAUGACGAUGGUGGUGAUGAUGCUGAUGAUGGUGAUAAUGAUUGUGUGGUGCAAAUGGAACUUGGCCCGGGACUCCAGAGUACUAAACCAAGAGAAAUGCAUGUUGGAGAGAACAUGUUGUCAUGGAGAGAGUAUAGGCACUGGCGUCAGAAGACCUGGUCCACGUCCUGGCUUCAUAAUCUUGGACAGGUCAUCCCUGCCACCUUAAGUCCAGUUUCCUCACUGCUAAAUGCAGACAGUGUACUUCCUGCUUCUCCUUUCACAGAGUUUUCAUGAGGGUCAAGCGAGAGAAUGUGGAAGUGCUCUAGAAAGUGCCAUGCAGAGGGGAAGAAUAUUAAGAUAUGAUACGUGAGCUUGCUGCUGGAAGGAAUCUUCCUGAUAUUAAGCAGUUAUGAAAAAAAGUAGCAGGUGAUAAAAGACCUUUUUGCAAGAAGUUUUUGAAAAAAAAUUUUUUUUUGAGAGUUACUGGACUUGGUGCCUCCUACAGCUGAUGUCCAGGGAAAGGUGAUGUGGCGCCACAAGUAAGUGCAAGCUCUGUGUUCCUGAUGUCUGGAAGGUGUAGCAUUUUCUGUUCUGUUUACCAUCAUCAUGUAUAAACUAGUCACGUCCUAGUUGUUCAACACAGUCCCAAAAAUUGGGGAUGGGGAUUGAAGCACAAAAAGCAGGUCCUUCCUUUCUAGCCUGCUCAUGGUAUGCAGAAUAAUCCCCAUCUCCUUCCCAAAGACGGCCACGUUUGAAUCCCAGAACCUGUGGAUGUGUUAGGCUGUGUGGCAAAGAGGAAUUAAGGUUGCAGAUAGGAUUAUGGUUGUUAUUAGCUGACCUUGAAGUGGGAGAGUGUCCUGGGUUAUCCACAUGCAUCCAACGUAAGCACAAAGGUCCUUAAAAGCAGAAGAGGGAGGCAGUGGAGGAGAAGCAGAGGGAAGGCCGGUAAGAAGGACUCGGCUGGAUGUUGCAGACAUUGAAGACGGAGGAAGGGGCCAGGAGUCCAGGGAGCAGCCUCUAGGAGCUGGAUGAGGAAAGGAAAGGCAUUCUCUCCUAGAGUCUCCGGAAGGAACAAAUCCUGCCAACACCUCGAUUUUAGCCCCAUUAGACCUAUUUUGUCCUUCCAACCUCCAGAACUGUAAGAAUAAGUUUGCAUUGUUUAAGCCAACAAUUUCCUGGUAAUUUAUUACAUCAGCAAUCGAAAACUAAUAUAUUGCCUGACAUCAUCUUAGGCAAGCUACCUUUGUGGGAGGACUGGGCGGAAGAAUGGGAAGAUUUGACCCAGGGCCACAUAUGAUGUCAAUGGAAUUUUAGUUCCAUUUGCCAUGAUACAUUCAAAGACCUAAAGUUACUGGACUUGGUAACUUUAGGUCUUUACUGGCAGGCAGCAUGGAAGGUCUGAGAUUUUCCCAUUUGUGAAGCUGUAGUUGUAUAGGCAGGAAGUGGUAUCAGCACCAAGAGCCAAGCUGCAUACAAUUUACCAUCUGACAUCUCCGCAUUGACUUAUUUGGCUUUUGUCUGGCUUCCCCUCCCUAGAAUAUAAGCUGUGUCAAAUUCACUGCUGUGACCUCAAUGCUUAAAAUAAUCCCUGGGCCAUAGUAAAUGCUCAAGAAUUGCUUAACAAAUUCACUUAUUCAACAAAUUUUUGUUAAGACUGUGUAUCAGUACUAGAAAGUAAGUUAAUUGCGGGCAGAGAGUUUUAUCUGUUAGCUGCUGCACUUCUGUAUGUAGAGCAGUACCUGGCACUCAGUAGACAUGUAUGGAAUAGUUGAAUUAAUGAUUUAAAGAAUAACAUACAAAGGCUCUGCUUUUGAGGAGUAUAUAGUCUAGGGACUUCUGUUUUUAGGUUUGUCAAUAUAGCUGCUUGUACCAAAAUUGAACUUUAUUUCCUCUCCCAAAUUUUCAAUAAUUGGCAAUGACUUGUCAAUUCAAUGUGUUGCAGGGGAGGAGAGGUGAAGGCAUGAAGAGGGGCUGGAGAAAUGACAUGAGGUUCCUAAGUUAAUAUUUUUCCAGGUUAUAUGAGGAUUUAUCUAGACAAAUAGAGUAUUUGCUGAAACAAUUUCUAUUUUUAUUAUUGUAAUAUAUGUAUGCAUAUUUGCAAUUUGACUACAUGACAUGCUCACUGUAAGAGAGUCAAGAAGCAAUGGAUUCCCCACCUUCCCAGUUCCACUCCAACCCCUCUCAGAGGUAACCACUGUUCACAGUUUGGUCUGUGUUCCCUUCUUUUCAAAUAUCUUAAUAGAGGCCUUGUUUUCAGAACUGCUUAAAAUAAGUAUAGGCCUAGAGCUUGAUAGGAACCAAAAUUGCUGAGAAAACAGCUUAAAAAUACAUACUAAAAAUAAUAUGAAAGACAACUGUGUAACAGAAACCCCUAGAUGGGAAAAAUUGUUUUUCAAAUUGCUGUGAUUUCUACAAUAGCUGGUUUUCCCAUGCUCUAUGUUUUUGUCCCUUUAAAUUUUUUUAUAUCUUAAAAUUACCAGGAGCCCUAAAUCUAUUUGCCUGGGAAUGAACAAAUAAGCCUUUACUACUAUCAACAGCAAAAAAGAGCCUUUCCUGGCCUUUACAGGGAUGAUAUUUUUGUGAAAAUUUGAGUGGAGUACUUUGGAAAACUUUGUGUUUUGCAGCAAUAUAGGGAGAUGAGGUUAUCAGUUGCUAUCUCUCAUCCAAAUAAUUCUCACCCAUGAUGACAUCAAACCCUUCCAGAAGGAAGAUAUGUCAGCAAAUCAGGACUGAAGCCCAGGCAGUAGUCUGAUGGCUGCCCUUGAACUUCUCUCUCACUCUUAUAUUCCCUCCUAACCUUGUGUUGGCCUGAUAUUUAAAGGCUAAGUUUAUCCUAUAAUAAUAUUUACUAUUUUUAUAUCUUUUUACAGAUUAUGAAGCAAUUUCCUACCUGUUUUUUUAUUUGAUCCAUGAACUUUUCAAGAGAUGUGUGCUAUUGCUGUUGUGACCAUUAGCUCCCAUUUCUCAGAUGAGGAAACUGAGGCUCAGUGAGCCUUAAAUGACUUGCCCAAAACUAUAAGGUCAGUUAGUGGUGGAACUUCUGCCUUCAAAUUUCUUGUCUUUUCCUGGAAGCAAUGUUGGCCCCCAGAUAAGAAACCACAGUUCAUAACCUCCUGUUAUUGUUGUCAAAACCUUCACCAACUUAUUGGAAAAACAAUAAUUAUAAAAAUAAUAAAAUUAGAUAAGGUGUUUUAUUGCAUUUCGUUUAUGCAGCAAAUACAAGGCAUAAACUGUGCCUCUCUAAGGUGGUCUCCCAAGAUGGAGAAUGGACUUUCUUAAGGGAGAAUCGCCAGGAUGUGCAUGUGGGCAUCUCUGACUUUUCUACUGCACUGGCUGCAAGCCCUGGCUAGGGCCCCGGGUAACGACUUUCACAAGAAUCCAGGGCUAGGAACUCCCAUUUUGUCCAAUAGGGCACAGAGGCUCCCCACAGCAUAUUCACCGGCCUCCCUCACUCCAGUAUCCCUCUUCCCCUGGCUUGCUGCCUCAUUGUCCAUACUACCCUCGCAGCAGGCUGGAAACACAGACAAGUGGGGCUGGCAAUACAGGAGGCUUCCAAGACUUUAGAGUUUAAUUGCAGGUCUGGAAAGAUGGGAAGCCCAAAGGUAGGACCUCUAGGCCUUCCUGGAGGGUGCGGCAGGCUUCAAGUGCUCUGACCCAGUAGCUCCAUUUGUGCACAUGAUUGGAAAAGAGCAUUAUGGGAAAGUCCUUCAGUGAAUAAAUACAAGAUGGUGGUGGAGCAUGGGGGUGGGGAUUGAGUUUGAAUCCUGCCUCUGCCACCUGAUAAUUAAAAGACUUCCUAAUCUCUGUGACUCUGUCUUAUCAUGGAAGCAAAAUAGAGGUAGCAUUAUCUGCCAUUCCUGGUAUUUAAGGCUGUUAUAAAAACUCAAUGAGUCAUUAAGUAAAAGCACUUUAAAACCUAUAAAAUACCAAAAAAACCACCCCACAUCUGCUUGAUUUUUGUUGUUGUUGGUUUGUCUUUCAGAUGGAAAUCUCUGCCCAUAAAAAUCUUCCACAGUAAACAGACACUGAUGCAAACACACUGGGCUUCCUUCUAUUACCUCAUCAUGCAUGUGCUCCUUAAAAUUGAUCACCAGUGACUUCCUCUCUUCUCCCUUUCCCUGUGCUUACGUAAUUCCUUUCCUGAAUGACUUAUCUUAGUACCAAGCUUUGUCCUCCUUCCCGAGUAGCCCAGUAUGAAGAGAACAUAAGGGAGACCCAUUUAGUAGUGGGAAAAGUAACUACCGGGUGAAAAUGACGUUGAUGUUUUCCCAACGUCAGCAACACUGCUUAGACUACUACUCCAAUAGUUAAUCAAGCUGGACUUCUAAUGUUAGGGACUGAGUUUUAUGUCCCCUAGUAUGUACUUUCUCUUCUAUAAUAACAAUGAAAAUACAGACCACCCAAUUUGAAAGUGGGCAAAGAGCUUGAAUAGAGAAUUUCUUCAAAGCAGAUAUACAAAUGACCAAUAAGCAAAUGAAAAGAUGCUCAACAUCUCCAACAUUAGGGAAAUGCAGCUCAACACCACAGUGGGAUGCCACUGCACACCCAUAGAUGGCUAUGCCUUUUUUUCUUUUUUUAAAGGAAAAUAGCAAGUGUUAGGUAGGUUGUGGAGAAACUGGAAUCCUUAUACACUGAUGGUGGGAAUGUAAACAACUCAGUUGCUGUGGAAAACAGGUUGGUAGUUCCUCAAAAAGUUAAAUACAGAAUUACCAUGUGGCCCAGCAAUUCCACUCCCAGGUAUAUACUCCAGAAAACUGAAAACAAGUACUUAAAUGCAUGUACACACAUGUUCAUAGCAGCAUUAUUCACAAUAGCAAGGUGGAGACAUUUCAAAUGCCCACAAUUGGAUGAAUGGAUGAACACUGGUGGUACAUACAUACAGUAGAAUAUUACUCAGGAAUAAAAUGGAAUGAACCACUGACACAGGCUACAAUGUGAUGAACCUCAAAAACAUUAAGCUAAGUGAAAGAAGUCAGAUACGAAAAGGUCACAUACUACAUGAUUCCAUUUAUAGGAGCUAUCCAGAAUAAAUAAAUCCAGAGAGACAGAAAGUAGAUCAGUGGUUGCCUGGGGCCUGGGUGGGGAGAGGGGAAUGAGGAGUGACUGCUUAAUGGGUAUGCAGUUUCCUUUUGGGUUGAUUAAAUGUUUUGAAACUAGAUAGAGGUGAUGGUUGCACACCACUGUGAAUGCACUAAAUGCCACUGAAUGGUCCACUUAAAAUUAAACUGGUUUUAAGUCAUGUGAAUUUCACCUCAGCUGAAGAAAAAAACACAAAAAGCCAUGGAACCCCAAAGCUACAGUAGGGUUGUUUGUUUCCAGAAAGACGCCCAGCAGUGCAGGGGUCUGUUUGAAACAAGAACCUGAGCCAGCUGAGCAACUAGGCCACUAAUGAGCUCCCCUCCUCCCCGGAAGCAAAUGUUUCUCCUCCUCCUCCUCCCAGCCAUUCAUUAGGCUCCAACCUGCUACUUGUCAGGUAGCAUUAGUUGUACCGGUAUCCUGGGGACCGGGGUGCCCUUGCUCUUCCUGGUUCCUUAUUUAUUAUGUUAAUGAGAACAUAACCAAGCUUCUGAGGCAGAAAGUCUGAGAUGGAUAUUUGUGCUCUAGUCAGUGGGCAGGUGGUCUCCACAGGGUGCUGUGGAAGGACUCCCACCAAGAUGUCUGGUUUCAAACCCAACUAUGUCACACACUUGCUCUAUAUUCUUGAGCAAGUCAGUUCUGAGGCUGAGUUUUCUUACCUUAAAAUGAGACUAAACAAAAUUUUUCUUAAUUAAUUUCAAUGUCCAGAAACAGAUCGCCUUGGUAACCCCUCACUUGCAAUCUCCCUGGGUCUGAGCCACCAUCAUCUUUUCCUUGACAAAUGCAAUGGCCUCCUAACUGAUCCCCCUGCGUCUGCCUGUGCCCUCUUCCCAGCAUAAGACCGGCUCUUUCAGACAUAAGUCAGACCACCACAUUCCUCCUCAAAGCCCUCCAGAGAGUCCAGGCACGGUGGCUCAACACCUGUAAUCCCAGCACUUUAGGAGGCAGAGGCAGGCAGAUCACUUGAGGUCAGGAGUUUGAGACCAGCCUAGCCAACGUGGUGAAACCCUGUCUCUACUAAAAAUACAAAAAUUAGUCAGGCAUGGUGGUGGGCACCUGUAAUCCCAGAACUUGAGGGGCUGAGGCAGGAGAAUUGCUUGAAUGAGGCGGAGGUUGCAGUGAGCAGAGACUGUGCCACUGCACUCCAGCCUGGGCGACAGAGCCAGACUCCAUCACAAAAAAAAACAAAAACAAACAAACAAAAACCAACCCUCCCAGAGCUCUCAGCUCACUCGGUAAAAGCCAGGUCCUGACACGGGCAUUCGUGGUCCCACACGAGAGCCUGCCUGCUGCUUCUUCAAUCACACCUCUUACCACCCAUGGCCCCUUGCUCACUCCACUCGAAACCCGGAGGUCUCCUUUCUGUUUCUGCCUCAGGACCUUUGCACUGGCUGUCUUCCAACCUGAAAGGUUGCUUUUGCCCUUGGUUCCUCCAGGUCUUGACUCAAAUGUCAUCUUACCAGUAAAGUCUUUUCACCUUGGCAGUUUUUAUCCCUCUUUCUUGCUCAGUUUUUGUUUUAUAUUACAUUGCACUUAACACCAUUCCAUACUUAAUACCAAACAACGUCUUCUUUGUUUAUUAUCUGUCUCCCCCUAAAAUGUAAGUUCCAUGAGAUUUUUUUUUUUCAUUGCUAUAUCCAAAAUGCCUAGAGUUGUUACUGGAACAUAGUAGGUGGUCUGUACACAUGAACCAAAUGAAUGAGUUAUUUUGAAGAUCAAAGACAAUGAAUGUGAAAGUACUGUACAAAUGUACAAUGUUUGGUUAUUCAUAUGAAAAUGAAGUUUCCUUGAUACACCAAAGUCUACACCAGUAGAAUCGAAUUUGUGAUGUUUGAAAAAAGCAAAUAACAAAAAUAAAAAUUUUCAGUUGGAAAACUGCCGUGAGCCUCAAAGGAUAUUUUAGGAUCUGACAGAGCCUGUUUCUAGACUCUCAUCCCAAAUGGCACUGUUUAGUCAGCUUCCCAGAACUCAUUUCAUCAACCUUAACAGAACCGACUUCAUAUGAGCAGGUUUCUGACGUGUGUAAGUCGAAGGAGCCUGGCUAUUUCAUAGCUGGUGUGGGAUUGUAUGGAUAUCAAAUUGGCUUUUUAUUUGCUACUGCAAAAUUAAAUUAGGAAUGAAAGUAAUUUGGUUCAAUGAAAAUAAAAAACUAGACUCAAAGUCAGGGGAAAAAAGGCCAAAUCAGACAGAGGUCAGGACUGCCAGGAAGGGUCCUUCUUAAAGUCUUAUAAAUAGAAGGUAAUUUCUAAAAUGUCAAGGGUUUCUCGGCUCAAUUAAAAUUAUUUGUAGCACAAAUGGCUGAGACCAGGGAGUGCUUUAAACCAUGGAAAUGCAGUAACAAGAAUAAUAAGCAACUAGGUUAUUGUUGUUCACGAGAUGUCUUAUUUAAAUGUUGAAGAAUUUCAAUCAUGUCAGAUGCCAGAAAGGGCCAGUUAUAAAGGGAACGAAGCUGUUGUCCUUCAGGUUCUUUUCCUCCUACUUUCACUUAGAAAUAGGAAACAGCCAAGAGCCAUUUUGCAAUCGAAACAACUUCAUUUCCCAUGUCCAUUUGGAAGAAAGAGCCAUAACUCAACUAAUACACGUUUAGGACAGGUUGGGGAAUGGCUGUGAUGCCGCAGCCCUGAGCUAAGAGCACAUAACUUCUUUCUAAAUGUGUGUUGGACUCCUUGGCUGUCAUCUAUUAAAGGAUGAAUUUUGCAAAUAUUAUGAACUUAUCCAUUAGGGAAGCAAAAACAAAUAUCUGAUAGACUCAGCUUUUGUCACAGAUAAAUAGUUCUUUACAUAAGCAAGCCCAAGAGUGUUUGGCACAGCCUCGCAAUGUCCAGUGAAAUGUCAAUUCAAGCCAGAGGUGUGAUUGUUUAUUGUCAGCAUAGACUGUCAUCACUUAUGGUCAUAAUCAGGAAAACUGCUGAUGAUUGAUACCGAUGGCAAUGAUGAUUACUCUUGCAAUAAGCUUAAUUAAAAUAAUGAAGUGCUACUGCAUGUGACUUAGCUGUGGCACACGAAGGAUGUUGUAUAGGCACCACAAAGAAGUCACCAGGCAGCAUGGGGUUCAUCUUUCAAUCCUGACACACCUGGGAAGCCCCAAGGUAUUGGGCGUGAUUCUGGAGGUCCUCUGCCUUCUCUCCUGGGAUCACAGUUCCUCAUUCCUCCUGCAUACAUAAUUGCUGGAAUAAGUGCAAUGACAGAGGUCUGCUGGUUACUGGUUUCAGCUGCAAAUCCAGCCCAGGAGAUGGUCUGUCUCCUCCUGGUCAGUCUUCCCGCGGAGCUACUUAUCAAACUCCAUGGGGAUGGCGAUUUAACCUGGGUACUACGAGUGGCUUCAAUCUCCCCCACCACUGGCAACUGACCCCAUCAAAGGUGAGGGAAACCCUGGAGAGAGAAAUGCUUCUGACCUCCUGGAACACUGGCUCAGAAAUCUCACCCUCCAUUGGCCUGCACCAUCCAGUUCAUUUUUCUUCCCAGAGUUUCUUGCUGCUGACUUUUCCUCUGUUCUUCAGCACCUGGGGUGUAGGGGAGAGGGGAGGAGAAAGAAUAAAAACCUUUGAGGGACAUUUGAACCACCCAGAAGGCCAGCCUCCAACCCAGCCCUGAGACCAUUUCCCAUAAUUGGUGAGGGCCUUAAAAACACAAACAGCCCUCAUCCACGGGGGGAAGAUCAAAGGAACAUUUACCCACUCACUUAACUCAGAAAAAAUAAAACACCCAGCGCAAAUUGUGGGCUUUUAACUAUCUUGCGGGACCAAAAACCUAAUCAGAGUACAGAGGACUAUAAACAUCUAGGAAGGGAAGCAGACAGUCAUUAAAAUUUGAUUAUGAGACUAGCAGCUCUGAUAGGGCCUUGUAGGCUCAGAGAAGAAAAAUCCCGGACUGCCUGGCCACCUUCCCUGCAGAGGGGUCUGCGUGAGAGCGGAGAGAGUGAGUGAACAAAAUCAGCCUGGAACAUCUUUUCCUUCACAUGUAUAAGAAUUUGGAGCCACACAGGCCUCUGCAACUUGUCUCCUAUUAAGAGAAAAAUUGGCCUCUGCAGUUAAUGGAUUUUUUUUUUUUGUAUGAGCUUGCUCAUGAAACAUUAAUCAUAUGUCCAUCACAGGAAAAUGCAAACCUUCACAGAGCUUACCAUAGUGACAUCUCCGGCUACUUGGAAUUGGGAUUUGUUUCAUUCAUUCAUUCACUCAGGCAUUCAGCAAAUAUGUAUUGAGCAUCUGCUUUGUGCCAAGCUCUGUUCUGGGUGCUGAGGAUAUAACAGUAUGCAAAACAAAGAUCCUUGCCCUGAUGGAUCUGAGGAAGUGCUUCCUGGACAAACUGGGAUUGGAAUCAGAAGAAAUAUCAGGGCAAGUUAUUAAAAGGAAAGAGGGACAGGAUUGGCAUUUCUAGAGUGCCACCCCGUGACCAGUACAAUGCUGGUGGCUUACGGGUGUUCUCGCUUUAAAUUAAAGAGUGCCAGCCAGGCGUGGUGGCUCACACCUGUAAUCCCAGCACUUUGGGAGGCCGAGGCGGGUGGAUCACUUGAGGUCAGGAGUUCCAGACCAGCCUGGCCAACGUGGUGAAACCCCAUCUCUACUAAAAAUACAAAAAAUUAGCCGGGUUUGGUAGCCUAUGCUGGUAAUCCCAGCUACUCAGGAGGCUGAGGCAGGAGAAUCGCUUGAACUGGGAGGCAGAGGUGGUGGUGAGUCGAGAUCAUGCCACUGUACUCCAGCCUGGGCAACAGAGCAAGACUCUGUCUCAAGAAAAAAAAAAAAAAACAAAAAAAUAGUGCCUUCUGUUGGCACUCAUCUGAUUGCAACAAGUUAAUGCAGUCAAGGUCAGAAUUGCUGAGGUCAGAACCUCAGGCUGUUUGUCACCCCAAUUCUAAAGUGCUCUCUGGAGUCUAAAUGACUUCAAGAAGUCACUCUUGGAUGAAGGUCUUGCUUGCAGCAAAGUAAAACCACACAUUUUCAGGGACCCACCUCUAGUCUAUUAAUUAAUUAGUCCAUUAAUUGUAUCACCCUUGGCACUAUUAACAUCCUGGAUUGAACAGUCUUCUGCUGUGGGGGGCUGUCCUGUGCAUUGCAGGGUGUGUAGCAGCCUCCUUGGUCUCUACCCACUAGAUGCCAGGAGCAUCACCCCAGCUGUGACAACCAAAAAUGUAUGUCUCCAGACUUUGCCCUAGAUGACAAAAUCACCAUGGAUUUUUGUUGUUGUUGUUUUGUUUUUUGAGACAGAGUCUUGCUCUAUCGCCCAGGCUGGAAUGCAAUGGCACGGUCUCGGCUCACUGCAACCUCCACAUCCCGGGUUCAAGAGAUUCUCCUGUCUCAGCCUCCUGAGUAGCUAGGAUUACAGGCGCACACCACCACGCCCGGCUAAUUUUUGUAUUUUUAGUGGAGACAGGGUUUCACCAUGUUGGCUAGACUAGUCUCAAACUCCUGACCUCAUGAUCUGCCUGCCUCGGCCUCCCAAAGUGCUAGGAUUACAGGCGUGAGCCACUGUGCCUGGCCUAAAAUCACCAUGUUGAGAACCAGUGACCUAAUGUGCACUGAAUUAACCUUGAAAAUACAUGUGUUUAAGAGAAACUCACAGAAACCUCAGCACUCAUUCAGCACCACUCAUUCAGCCACUCAUGGAGCCACUCCCGUGUGCCAGGGCAGGACAAGGAGACUCUAGGUGAGAUCACAGCUGUAUCCCACCCCCUGGCCCAUAGCGAGACUGUCCUCUUUGGCUUCCUUGCCACCAGCCUGCCGCCUGCCACCUGCCACAGCCUCUCCAUCAUCCACACAGUUUCUAUAAAGAGAUCUGAACUAUCACUUAUCUCUUUAAGACCCUCAACAGCCUUAGAGGAUAAAAUCCCAAUGCCCGUUAGCAUACUCGAGACCCUUCACCAUCUGGCCUCAGUCACCUGCGUAGCCCCCUCUACCCCAGUCUCCGACUGAAUGGUCUAGUCCCCUUCACCUUCUCUGUCUGUGCCCUAAAUGGGAUCAUGCCUCCUCUACCCUGACCACACCCUUGUCUCCACCCCUGCCUUGGCUCCAAUUGCUCACUUUUUUUUUUUUUUUGAGACGGAGUCUCGCUCUGUCACCCAGGCUGGAGUGCAGUGGCAUGAUCUCGGCUGACUGCAAGCUCCGCCGCCCGGGUUCACGCCAUUCUCCUGCCUCAGCCUCUCCAAGUAGCUGGGACUACAGGCGCCCGCCACCACGCCCGGUUACUUUUUUGUAUUUUUAGUAGAGACGGGGUUUCACCGUGGUCUCGAUCUCCUGACCUCGUGAUCUGCCCGCCUCGGCCUCCCAAGGUGCUGGGAUUACAAGCGUGAGCUACCGCGCCCGGCCCUGACUUUUUAAAAAUUAAUUUUUGUGAGUACAUAGUAGGUAUAUAUAUUUAUGGGGUACAUGAGAUGUUUUGAUACAGGCAUGUAGCAUGUAAUAAUCACAUCAGAGUAAAUGGGGUAUUCAUCACCUCAAGGAUUUAUACUUUGUGUUACAAACAAUCCAAUUAUACUCUUUUAGUUAUUUUUAAAUGUACAAUUAAAUUAUUAUUGACUGUAGCCACGCUGUUGUGCUAUCAAAUACAAGGCCUUAUUCAUUCAUUCUAUUUUUUGUACCCAUUAACCAUCCCCACCUCCCCCUAACUCCCCACUAUCCCUUCCAGCCUCUGGUAGCCAUCCUUUCAUUCUCAGUCUCCAUGGGCUCAAUUGAUUUGACUUUUAGAUCCCACAAAUAAGUGAGAACAUAUGAUGUUUGUCUUUCUGUGCCUGGCUUAUUUCACUUAAUGUAAUGACCUCCAGUUCCAUCCAAGUUGUUGCGAAUGACAGGAUCUCAUUCUUUUUUAUGGCUGGAUAGUACUCCAUUCUGCAUGUACCACAUUUUCUUUCUCCAUUCAUCUGCUGAUGGACACUUAGGUUGCUUCCAAAUCUUGGCUAUUGUGCAGUUCCUCACCUUUAAGCCACAGAGGCUCACUGAGCCUUUAAAGUUCAGAUCCAGUUCCAACUCUUCAGCUAAGUCUUUCUCAACAUUCCUUUCAAGCCUUUAAAAACAAAUGGCUUCUGGAACUACAUCCCCAUAGUACCCCGCUCACACAUCUGCUGUGCAUUGUGCCUCAGCUGGCCUGUUCUUCCAUCAGUAAGUGUGUGCUGAGGAUCUGCUAUGCGCCAGGCACUCUUCUAGACCCCGGGAGAGAGAGGUGAACAAAUCUGGCAAGAUCUGCCUUUGCCAAGCUUACACUCUAGAUAGGGAGCUAGAAAAGAAAAUAAAUGACCAAACAUAGUCAGAGGGUCAUGGUGCCAGGAGUUGUACUCGGUUUUGGGAGUAGAACUGAGCUAGGCCCAAUCCCUGCUUUCAAGGAGCUUAUGGUCCUGGGGAUGGGGAGGGAGGGGAGCAUGAAAUGAGGGAGUAGAGGUGGGGGGUUAUGGGAAGAGGAGGAAAGAGCAUCUAAAUACUGGGCCCAAGUGUGAGGAGUCCCCAAAGUCAUGGAGAGGUCAAUGAGCGAUGGCCAGAAACCACAGGGAAGGCUGAUUUAGAAACUACUGGAGAACCUUCUGAGAGGGUCAGGACGUUGACAAGGUAGAAUGCAUUCUAGGUAGGCCCAGCCUGAGAGAGAAGAAAAAGAGAUAGUUUCCAGAAAUGCUUAGAUGGUAUCCCCAUCCAAAUUUACCUCAGUCCAGAAUUUUCCCCUUUGCUUCAAGGCCACUUGACGAUAGUGGUCAAGACAGAACUGGAAGUCCUAAGGUCAUAUCCCUGAUUCAUAUCCUGUGCCUGAAACCCUGCUACUUCCUGAAUUCCUGUGCUCCUCGGGUAAGACUUCCUCGUGGAGAUGGAGCUAAAGAAACUAAAAGACACUCCCACCCUUGUUAGGAUAGACUUUAUUUGCACAUAAGGUCAGACAAAUUUCCAUAAUGCCACCUGCUAUGGACUGAACAUAUUCCUGCAAAAUUCAUGUGUUGAAAGCUACUCCCCAAUGUAAUGGUAUUAGAUGAGGUUUGAGGAGGUGGUUUGGUCAUGAAGGUGGACCCCUCAAGAAUGGGAUUAGAGCCCUUACAAGUGGCUGAAGCAACCAGAGUGUUCCUUUUCCAUGCGAGGACAUAGCAAGAAGGUCCCACCCAGGAGCCGUAAGCAAGCCCUCACCAGACACUCAAUCUGCCUUCAAUGUGGACUUCAAGGUCUGUGGGAACUGUGAGAAAUAAAUUUCUGUUGUAUAUAAGCCACUCAGCAUAUGUAAUUUUAUUUUAGCAGUCAGUUCAAAUGGGCUAGAUGCUACGCUUGAGGGGACCUCCAGGAAUAGAUAAAGGCUGUGUCCCAUGUCUCCUGCAAAGCAAGAAGUACACCACAAUAUAUAAAAUAAAAAGCCAAAAAUCAUCCCAAGAAGUCGACAUUAUAUCAUCAUUAAGACCCAGUUGGUCUUUACUUGCCCUGUUUUCCAUGGUUUGUCUGAAUUCUCUCCCACCUUCCCACCAUGCCAAGACUGCAGGGGUGUGUUGACUUUCAUUGCCUUGAAAUAGUUAAUCUUUGCAACCAAGGUUCCAAAUGGGAGGCUUAAACUGGGAAUCAGCUCACUCUGUGUGUAGGUCAUUUAAGAGCUCAAUCUCAUCUUUGAAAUAUAGAUUAACUAGGAGAGUAUGAGUUCAGCAUUUCUCUAUAAUGUUGUUUCAUUGAUCCUGCGGGCCAACUGGACAUGGCUUCAGAUGGAUACCUAAAAAUUAGUUUUAAAACUUUCCCAUCUUUUAAUAUUUUAUAACCUGUCAGAAAAUCAAUUAUGGACUCUGCCCCCUUUCAACGCUUGGUUUCAUAGGAGCUGAUGUUUAACCAAAGCAAGGUUCUUUCCUCUCCUUUACAAAAAGCAAUGGACAAGUUUAGAGUAAAUGAUGACUUCAGGGAAUUUCUUGGAUUUGUAAAGAUUUAGAGAUGAAUUGAAUAGCUUUGACCUGCCAAGUCCACAGCUUGGGUUUCUCUCUCUCCUGAGCCAUAGCCAGCAAAUGGUUUCCCUAAACACUGGGAAAGAUCAGGGAUCCAGAGGUCAGUAUUGUGGGAACCCAGUCAUAAUUUAAACUUGUCAAAUAUCUUGAUAUAUUUCUUCAAGCCCAGUGAAUCACAAAGGGCCUUUCUCCAAAACCUGUCCUUCCUCUUAUGCACACACAUGCACAUGGAGCACAAUCUUUCAGGUUUAAAAAAAUUUUUUUUUCAUUUUUUAGUUUAGGAGGAUUUAAGGGAAGAAUAAAGAUUAGGAGAUAUGCCAGAGCGAUUUUUAUUUUUUCUUUUUCUGUAUUUCAUAACAUUUCUAAUAUGAACAUAUAUUAAUUUUGUAAGAGAAAAUAAAGUUAAAAAAAAAAGAACCUAGGUAAAGUCACACUAACAUAACACUAAGAAUCCAUGUUGAAAGAAAGUGGAAUUAAUUUUAGGUUAACAAUAAAAAUUUCAACUUCCAUAGCAUGCAUACUCCAAUCACUUCUGAAUGGCCAUAUUCAUCAAAAUGAACUAUAGUUUGUCCCAUGAAAAUAGGUAGAAGCCAGGAACCGUGGUGCACAUCUAUAGUCCCAGCUACUUAAGAAGCUGAGCCUGGAGGAUCCCUCAAGCCCAAGAGUUCAAGGCUGCAGCGAGCCAUGAUCGUGCCACUGCACUCCAGCCUGGGCAACAAAGUGAAACCCUGUCUCUAUUUAAAAAAAAGAAAGAAAGAAAGAAAAUAGGUAGAUUAAGCAUUCAUGUUUAAGAAAUGGGUAAGGAAGAAAGAGAGAGAGAGAGGAAAGGAAGGAAGACAAGAGGGAGGAGAAAGAGAUAAAUCCUGGCCAGGAUGAAAGGGGAGAAAAGGAAGGGGAGUUGUAGAAUGAAAAAGGAAAGUGGAUCGAGUCAGAUGCUAUUGAACUGAUAAAGUGUUCAGUUCUGUUGGGGAAAUUCCAGCUGGCCUCACACCCAUGUUUAUUGCAGUAGGUAGCAGCAGCAGUAUAAUACCUCUCAUCCCUGGUAGUACCCAUGGCACAACUGCACAUUAUGCUGUAAAUGGAAGCAGAACACUUGCUAUCUUUAUUGUGCUGACAUUUAAUGACUAGAAGAGGCCUGGGAGAGAGAUACCCACGAGAUCCUGCCUUUGGUAUGUUGGCCACAACUUCCAGAAUGGGGAUGCCAGUUACUUGCCUCUCUUUAUGCUUUUGAACAAACUAGCCACCAGCUGGGCUUUCCAGAUCUCUCAGUGGUUAAAGAGCUGGGGAAGUCUCGGGAAGAAGGUGGUAUGUUUAGCCUGGGGCACGGGGAAAGUAACAUGGCUGCUGGUAGCAGGCACAGUGGUAGGGGAAGCCCUACGUGGAUUACAGUGAAAUGGAGUUUACCUAACAAAUUAACAAAUAAUAUGUUCAAUUUCUGCUUUCGGCCUACCUGUCUGGUUGGUUCUGAGAACUCAAGUUAGUUCUUCCUUAUUUCAUUCGCCAAAUUUGACAAGUCCCUGAAAUUCAUCACUGGCAACUUAACCCAGUUUGUUUCUUCUACCAAAUGCAAGGAACCAAAACAUUUUCUUUUCUUAUUCCCAUUUGGCAAUGACAUUUUACUUUGGAUAGUGGGACAUGUCUAAACAUCCUCCUACUUAUUAGUUACAAAGGUGCCAUAAUGUAGGCCUCAAUUCAAAUCCACCUCCCACAUGUAGUGGGAACUUGGGCAAAUUAAUUUACCUCUCACUACCUUAGUUUCCUAACCUCUAAAAUGCAGAGGGUAACAACAGUACCUCCUUGUCAUGGACGUGUUGCAAGGAUUGCCCAUGUUCAUGAAUGUAAAGCAUUUUGAACAGUGCCCAGUGUGAGUUUAAUGCUCUGUGUUCACUAUGAUCAUUUCAAUCAUCCACACAUAUUUUUGAGUCCCUGUUAUGUGCCAGGCGCCUUCCUGAUCACCAGGAAUAGAAAAGUGAGGAUGUCUUUGGAGCUUAUAUUCCAGUGGAGCAAUAGAGUCAUAACAAAAUGAACAACAAUAACGGCCACUAAUAUUUAUUGGGAUUAUAAUAUGCAUAGCCUUACUUGAUCUUUCUAAUAAUCCUAAGAGGUAAGUAAGAGUAUUGUUUCAUAGGAGAGGAAUCCACAGGCUUCAAGGGGUUCGAUAACCUGAUCACACAACACAGCUGCUAAGUGGCCCAGCCCAGGGCUGGAAUGGAACAACAUGGUUCCCAAGUUUUCAGUCUUAACUGUGUCUUUCACUUUUAUGGAAUUGGGCUAUUUUCAACUAACAACCGUGGUUCUAGGAAACAACACAGCCACUUUGUCCCUUUAUGUUAUUCUUAAAGAAUCAUUGCCCUGUCUCCCACUUUUAUGCCAGUCACUGAGUUUUUGGUAGCCAUUCACUGAACAUGAUCAAAUUUAACCACCCAGUGUAAAGGAUUUUACCUGCUGGUCAGAGGAACAACUCAGCAUUUGGAAGAACAUUUAAUACUGUACGGCGGCGUUGGCCUUCAUGCUGAGAGACAAGCGCACAUCUCAAGGCCUACCCUGAACCAAUCACUGGAGGAUGGUUUAAUUGGUUAAUCAUAUAAAUUACAAUCACUUAAUCAUUUUAAGCACCAUCAGCCAAUUAGCUCAGAAUUAUGGGCUCUGAGGUAACAGUCAUGCAAAUGUUUGUUCCACUGCAGGCUAUUAACAGCCAUAUUUUCUCUAUCAAGAUGACAGAGACUGAUGGGUGGGGGAAGAAAAGGAAAGAGAGCAUUUGUUUAGUUUAAACUUCUUUCCUGUUGGGUUAUAAUGAAGCAUUCAGUGGGGAGGAGCGCCAUGUGCAGUGAUUUCUGUAUCCUACUCAAUGUGAGUCUCCGAGUGGAUUGGAGGGAGGCCCCUGAGCAAAGAACUGCAAGGAAUGGCUUCAAAACUGCUGAAUCAAGACUGCGCAGGAGUUUAGCCUACUCUUGCUGCCAGGUGCUGGCUUUGUUGACCACCUGGUGUGCUCAGCCAUAAUACAGAUAAAUUGAGGACUGGCUGGGCACGGUGGGUCACACUUGUAAUCCCAGGAGUUUGGGAGGCCGAGGCUGGCGGAUCACUUGAGCCCAGGAAUUUAAGACCAGUCUGGGCAACAUGGCAAAACCCCAUCUCUACAAAAAAAAAAAAAAAAAAAAACACCCAAAAAUUAGCUGGCCACGGUGGCACACACCUGUAGUCCUAGCUACUCAGGAGGUUGAGAUGGGAGGGUAGAUUGAGCCCAGGAGGUCUAGGCUGCAGUGAGCUGUGAUUGCACCACUGUACUCUAGCCUGGGCAAUAGAGCCAGACCCUGUCUCAAAAAAAAAAAAAAAAAAAAAAAAAAAAAAAGAAAGAAAAAGAAAAGGAAAGAAACUGAGGACCAAAAUGAGGACAUGACUUUUGUGGCUGCUUUUUCUCCACCAAGCAACAAAGAGUGUCCACUAAUCAUGCAGGAGAAUAGAUCAAGUUCAGACAGAGCGUCCCCAUCUACGAUAACCAUUACUAUAUACUAACAAUGAAGAAAAUAAAACAGCUCUGGAAAGCAAGGUGAGUCAUCGUCAGCCGACCAGAAGCUGUGAACACCUGAACGUUUGCCAGUGUGGGCGUAGAGGAGCUGUUUGUGCUCAUCAGUCCCUGGUUUAGGGCCUGGUACAUGGUAGCUUCCCAGUAAACUCUUGUGGAUGAAUUAAUGAUUAGUGGCCAAAUGUGAACGUAAGAAGCAGGGAGAUGGAGGAGCACUCAUCUGUUUGAUGUGGCUGUGCUCUGCCAGCGUGCCUGUGCAAGUGUGUGUAAGACAGCUGGACCCUGCAGUGGAGUCUUUGCCGGCUUCUGGCUCCGGCAGAGCCUAGUGUAACUGCGCUUUCUGUCGGGUGGUCAGUUGAGUAGACUGGGUCAUUUGCUAGCCUGCGAUUGUAAUAUUUGCAAGUGCUGUGAUGGUAAGGAACAUCAGAACUUCAAAGAUUACUUUUGUCAGGAAUGUGUAGGAAGCAACAUGGUUUUGUGGUCCCCAGUCACUUUGUGACUACGGCAUUGUGGUCUUCAGACUUCACCUGUCUUGACUGAUUAAUUAAAGUUGGGGGUGGGACUGCUCCCAGCCUCUCACCAUUUCCCAAGUGCACGCGCACGCGCGCGCGCGCACACACACACACACAGAGGUACAUGCAACAUAUUUGUCAUAAAACUUCAUGCAGUCAUUAAAUAAUACAUACUGGACUUUUAUGUGCCAGAGAUCAUGCAAGGGACCAGGAAAACCGCACAGAACACAUAGCACUUGCCAUGUGAUGGCAAAGUAUGGUCAAGUGCAGAGAGGAGAGGAAGACUCCUGAAGGCUGACAUAAUCAAGGAGAACUUCCCAGAGGAGGUGGGGAUUGAUCUAGGGAGAAAUUAGAUAGACAAAGAGAUGAAAGUAGGGUACUUCAUUGCACUUGUCAUAUUGACCUAGACUUAAAGCUUCAGGGAGAAAGUUUUCCAAAUUAGGAGUUUUAAUUUCCUUAAGGAAGUAACUGGCCUUGUUUUAUCUUGUUUACACAUGUCCCGGAGGUGCCUUGCCCGCAGGCAGCAGGAAAGGGUUCCUGGUAACUCCCUGUCUGACCUGAGCCAGAGGCUUGUCUCCCUCUCUGGCCUUGCUUUUUCUUCCUUAAACAGGGAAAAAAUGAUAUUGACCUACCGUUGUGAGGGAAAACUGAUACAAAAUAUGACAACACACUUCAGAGAGUGAGGUGCUCUUAGAAAAAAGAAAAGCCUAACGAUAAGUAUGCUGAGACACAGAAAACAAUGGGUGGGAAUAGAAAAUUGGACUAAAAUCAUAGAAAGAGGUUUUAAAGAUUUUCUCACUUCAGCAUUUACAACACUCUAUUAUUGACUGUAGAUUUUUUUCUUGCACUUGAUUAGUCAGAAACCAGGCGAACACUCUCUAAAAUCCUUGUACAGGUCAGACACUAGCAGAGUCCAUAUUCCUAAGGACCGAGCUGUUGAGCCACUCCCAUGUUUGAUUACUUCCCUUUUAGUUUUCAUGCACACUCAGCUUGCACUAUGUUUAUUUGCCCUUGAAAGUAUGAAGUCAUUUUGUUUGUCUCUGGGGAUUCCUCACACUCCCCACCCCUGUCACUGCCUUUGCCCCAAAAUAGGUUCCUAACUUCCUGGGGGACGUGUUUAAUGAGGAUGUCUUGGCAAGAGAACUCCCUUAAGAGAUCUUAUAACAUCAGAGCUGAGUCUGACUCCAGCCCCGAUGAGAUGUGGUCAGCUCACAUGCCCAGUGGGUUCCAAUUCCUCCCACCUUUCAUGGUUCAGGAUGGAGUUGAAACUCACCCUGGGAGUUCCCUGUACUCUUCUGGCUUGAUUUAUAUAGCAUAGAAUAGUUUGUGUCUUUGAGUUUCCCCAGAAGUAGACCCAGAGACAAGGGUUCAAAUGCAAAUGAUUUCUUUGGGCAGGGAAGGGAGUAUCAGCAGGGGAGAGGGGAAACGGGACAGGGGAGGCAGCCAGUAAAAGGUGCGUGAGUAAGCCAGCUGCCCCAGUGGGCAGCUGGAGCCGAGUCUAGGAAAUGGAGUAGGACAUAGCCCAUAAUUAGACCUCCAGAGGUGAGCACACUGGGACAUUUAGACACCAACUCCUGUCAGUCAUUGGUUGAAGGCAUUGAGGAGGGGUUGUUAAUUCCGAGGAGAGGUGCUAGCAGCCGGAAGUCAUCUGUCUUUUGGGGAGCACCCGGAAAUGGUGGGGUCUGAGGGAUGUGGAUGGGACAGGAAGAGUAUCUGUUAGGAUUUGCAUCAUAACAUUUAUACUUUCUUGCCUAACGGUCCAAGUUCAGGGACAUAGUAGCAGACUUAUAGCACAAUUACAAGCUUAUAACAUGAUCGCAAAUUUACACCAGGAGCCAGAGGAUGACGAAAACAGCCCUUUGUUUCCCCUUUGGAUCAUUUAUCACAGGAGACUGGGCCCACCCACUCAGACCCUGGAGGGGAGGCUUGUUUGUUGGUUUCAUUCCUCUUGCUGAUGAUUGUGUCCACUUGGCCAUAUGUCCCGGUCUCAGCCAAUGAAACCUGAGAGAAAGUUGAGGGUGGACGUGCGGGGAGUCUGGAAAACAGUGUUCUUGCUCGUAAGAGAGAUACCUGGAUGAGAGCAUCUCUCUUUUUUGCUAGACGUCUUACAGUCGGGUUCUGAUGCCUGGAACUUCUGCACCCACUUUGCCAUCAUGUGGGGUAAUCACAUCCAGAGGGCAGGAUAAUAGAAAGAUGGAAAACAGGAAACCCUUGGGUCUUUGUGAGCCUCUGAGUUACAACCCUGGAGGCACCCGCCUUUGGACUUCUUGUUCUUUUAGUUCAAGACACUUUUGGUUGGGUUUCUUUCAGUUUAAGACACUUAUAUUCCUUGUGCCCAAAAGCAUCCUAAAUGAUACAAUGUCAGGUAACCGCGUGACUAGUGAGGAGAACCCCUACCAUAUAUGAAAGCAAGUGAGUGUGGGACUGCAUGGAUAGAGUGAGUCAGGCUGGACGCCUGCUCCCAGCUUGUGUGUAGCUGUUUCAGUCAGCUUGGACUGCCACAGCAUAAUAUCACAGACUGGGUGGCUUAAACAACGGUAACUUAUUUUCCUAUAGUUCUGGAGGCUGGAAGUCCAUGCUCAGCAUGUCAGCAGGGCAGGUUUCUGGUCAGGCCUCUCUUCCUGGAUUUCAGAGGGCCACCUUCUCCCUGUGUCCUCACAUGUCCUUUCCUCUGUGCCUGUACUCCUGCACAAAGCACUUCUGCAUGACAGUGUGACGGUUGUCUUGACAAAAAGUACUGGUGUGAUUGAUGAAAUUGGAGAUAACAGUAAUGGAUAUAAUUUUUUAAUAUCCUAUAAUAAAAUGUUGAAAGUAUAUUUUCCACAUGACCAAUGUAUGAUGUUUCAAAAUUGUGUGUGGGUAAGUGAUCUCAUCAAAGUGAAAGAGAUACCAAUACAUUGUAAUGUAACAGAGUAUGAAAAGUUCAUUGAUAAUGGUUUUAGAUUCCACAUUGCAACUAACAUUUAAGAAAGUGCUACUUGUCAAGUUUUGGUGUAAUAUCAAAGAAGAAUUAUCUGGAAUUAUCUGAAAAGCUAGUAAUAUGUAAGACCAGAUUUUCUUUAUAUAUGUCAACCAAAACAACAAAACAUAUUGCAACAGAUUAAAUUUAGAAGAUAAGAAAAUUGAACUCACCUCUACUUAUUCAGACAUCAAAGAGACUGGCAAAAAUAAAAAUUAAUGUUACACUUCUCACUAAUUUUUUUGUUUUAGAAACAUUUUUCAUAAAAUUUUAUUAUUUCUGUUGAUGUGAAAUAGGUUUAUUAUUGUUAUUUUGAAAUGAAUUAAUAGAUACAUACUUUCUUAAAUCUUAAGAUAUAGUAUGGUAAAUAUUGAUAAAUAUAGCCUAACUAAACAAAAGCUUUUCAGAGUUCAUGAUAAUUUUUUAAUCCAGUAAAGAGAUCAUGAGACUAAAAAGUUUGAGCAUUUCUGACAUAAAUUAAUGAAAACCGUCUGAAUAGAUAGCUCUGCCAGGGUUCUCAGUUGCAAACAACAGAAACCCCUCUAGCUAGCCAGUUCAAGCAGAAAAGAAAUUUAUUUAAGGAUGUUAGCUCCCCAAAGCUAGAUGUCUCCUCCAGCACCUUUCUGGAAAAAUGGACUCCAUCCUUCUUGCAGAGUUCUCUUCCACAUCAGAGCCUCAUGGGGGAACCUCCCACAGUCAGGGACACAGGCUCGGAGCUCCUAGAAAAGCAAGAGACUAGAAACGUAAGUUCUGACGGCAUCUCGGGGAGGUGUGGGAAUUUCACAAUGUGUGAAAUUCCCCAAACAUAGGAAGGCUGUGCAAAAGAUUGCUGGGCAGCUACAAAUGUCCACUAUAGUAAUUACUAAUAGUCCCAUUUUUUUCAGAGCAAAACCAAGGUUGAGGUGAGAGCUGUAAGGGAAGGAAGAAGCCAUCAUUUAAACUCAAUUACUGAUGCUGGAUCCACUUCUGAACCAAUGCACAGAGCCCAGAAAUUCUUUAAGCUCCAAGACAGCUUCACUGCAGUUCGUCCCAUGGGGGUCUCAGAGAUUCCAGGGCUCAGGGAGGAGGACAAUGUAUUUUUUAAAUAUAUUUUUUGUUUUCCUUAUGAUAACAAAAGUGAACAUGUAAUUCUGAUAAAUAACCCUCAUUACCCCAUCAUGCAGUGAUAAACACUCAUAACAUUUUGAUGUAUUUCCCUCCAGAUAUUUUACAUUUGUUAUUUUAAACAAAAAUGAGUUCAUGCUGUACAUGUUAUUUUUAACCUUUGAGGCUUAUAUAUCAGGAUUAUCUUUGCAUGUUAUUAAAUAUUAAUAUUUAAUAUUCUUAAUUUAGUGACUGUAUAGUAGUCUACUGAAUGGAGGAACAUAAUUUAUUAAAUGAUGAUACAUUGCUCUAGAAAUAUAUCCCAUAAUACUUCUAUUUCAGUGGCUCUCCGUUUUUCUUUUUUUUGAGACAGUCUCGCUUUGUCACCCAGGCUGGAGUGCAAUGGCGUGAUCUUUGCUCUCUGCAACCUCCGCUUCCCGGGUUCAAGCAAUUCAGUUGUCCUGCCUCUAUUUCCCAAGUAGCUGGGAUUACAGGUGCCCACAACCACGCCCAGCUAAUUUUUGUAUUUUUAGUAGAGAUGGGGUUUCACCAUGUUGGCCAGGCUGGUCUCGAACUCCUGACCUAGGGUGAUCCACCUGCCUUGGCCUCCCAAAGUGCUGGGGUUACAGGCCUGAGCCACUGUGCCUGGCCGGCUCUCUGCUUCUAAGACUAAAGACAUCAAAGUCAAUUUUUACUGCAUUCCUAAUUUAUAAAGCUAAUCCUUUCCUUAUAUCCACAGUGCCUAGCAUAGAGAAGACAAUCCAAAAAUACUUGAUAAGUGAUUAAAAGAGUGACAUACAUUCAACAUGAAAAAUAUAGUGGAUCAAUUCAAGCCUCAUGUUUCAGAGUUUCAAGAUUUGGAAGUUAAUGUGGAAAAAAGGAAAGGACAUUUGGAAAUAAAUUUUUCCUGUCUUGUGGCUGUCAGACACCUAACUGUUACAGAAGGAAUACCCUGAGAUAGCACAACCGAGAGUGGUCUACGUUCUGCAGGAAACAACUGGUGCAGGCAGUGAAUCUUAAAGCCAUAAAACUGAGAAGCAUUGAAAGUACAAAGGAGCCAUUCUAAACUCCUGACUUAGACUUUUAAUACAACUGAGAUGUGGCACUGCUGCCAAUGAGGAUAAUGACUGAAAAAUCAUGCCUCUGUCCAUUCUUAUAGGUAGAGAGAGAGAGAAAAAAAAACUGAGGAAGAAUGGAUGAACAGAAAAAUAAUGGGAAUAUCUUAAUUUUUAGCCAAAAGCUGUUAAGUUUCCAGCAACCAAUAACCAAAAGAUCCUAUUCACCUUUGGUUCAAAGAGUAGUUCUUAGGCUAAUUUAUUGCAUACCCAGGCAGAUAAGCUCCAUGAGGACAGACACUGGGGUGCCUUGGUUGUCACUCUACCCCUAGUGCCUACAACAAUACUAGGCAUGCCCACAAAAAUUAAAAAUUAAAAAAAAUUUAAAAAGAAAUAAAAAUACAAAAAAUACUGGGCAUGUCACAGGCACUCAGGAAACACCAGUCGAAGGAAUGAAUGAAAGAGACUUCCUUGCCUUUCUUGUAUACUCCAGCCACUCUACAUUUCUUCCAUAGCCCCGACACUUUCAUAGGUGUGUACCUUUGCAUAUAAACCACUCAUUUUAAUACAACAAAUAACAACUGAGCUCCCACUAACCGUUCUGAGCAUGGGAGAUACAUGGACAAAUGGGCACAGAACCUGCCCUUGAGAACUCUUGACUCAUCAGUGUGUUUGCCAGUGCUUCCUAGACUUUAAUGUGCAUAGGAGUGUCCUGGGGAUCUUGUUAAAAUGUGCAUUCUGCUUCAAUAGGUCUGGGGCAGGGCUUGAGACCCUGCAUUUUGAAGAAGCUUCCAGGUGAGGCUGAUGUGCUAGGAGGCACAUUGAGGACAAAGUAUUCCAGCACUUCUGAUUGUAGUAUGACAACCAGGAAGAUGGUUCUGUCAACAGAUACUCAUAGCCUGAUUCCCUGAUUACCACAUAUAGACUUAGCUCUGGUCUUUUUAACCCAAGAGUUGUUUGAGGCCCAGAGUGUGUAUACCUCCCAGCACAGUUGGCCUGAGGCCAGGCAGGAUUACCUUACAGUUCUGCCCAGGUGUGAAAGGGACAGGGUAGAUACGGCCUGGAUGCUGACAGCAGGUGAGAAACUCACAUAUCUUGCAUCAGUCAUAGAAUCAGGGUUUCUUUCUUUUUACCACUGGAGACAGUUGAGCACAUUCUCAUUGUCACAUCUCGUUGAAAUAUUUCAUAAAUCUGCAGGGUAAUCAUUUAAAAUUUAAGUUAUUUCCUUCUAAAAAGUGUUCAGAGAGGAUGUGAAACUGAGCAAAAUGCAAAGGCUUUUUUUCCCCACAUCAUAAAUGUGCUUCCUCAGCAACUAAUACCUUUCAAAUGAUCUGUCACACUUUGCAUAAUUAAAUCACAGUCUCAAUGGCAGCAAAUCACUGCAGGAACAGUAAGAAAACACUAAGAGAAGAUAGAAUAUGAAGGGGAGAAACUUCCUUCGUUAGUAAAUUUUUCUUACAUCAGGCUAAAUACUCCACACCAGUCAAUGAAGGUGGAGCAAAAUUAACUCAAGUUUUUUUUUUUUUGUUUUUUUUUUGAGACAGGGUCUUGCUCUGUCACUCAGGCUGGAGGGCAGUGGUGUGAUCAUGGCUCACUGCAGCCCCCACCUGCCAGGUGCAAGCAAUCCUCCCACCGAGUAGCUGGGACUGCAGGUGCACACCACCAUGCCCAGCUAAUUUUUGUAUGUUUUGUAGAGAUGAGGUUUCACCAUAUUACCCAGGCUGGUCUUGAACUCCUGGCCUCAAGCAACGCCCACCUCGGCCUCCCAAAGUGCUGGGAUUGCAGGUGUGAGCCGCCAUGCCUGGCCUAAACUCUCCAUUUAGAUCCACCAAUAGGAUAUUUAUAGGGCACCAACUGGGGUGGUUCCUGCCCACAAGGGAGCUUAUAGUCUUAUGAACACCAAAAAGUCAAACAGCAAAACAGAGUUCAUCAGUAGUGUUUCAGGAGAACUGUCUAGAUAAUGAUAUAAUUGCAAGUCAGUUAUAAAAAGGAUCACUUCAUGGAGUCAUGUGGAUUCAAACUGCUCAUGUCGUCUUUCUUAAUACCUCAGCCACCCAACAGCACAGGUCUUCAUCCCUUAGACCUGCUCUCCCUCCAAGACUUUGAAUUCAGAGACAGUUCCCACCAUAUCCCCGUUACUCCCUGCUUUUCCUGUACCCCACUCUCUAAGCACACCAGGACUUUUUAUCUUUUGAGACAAUAUAGUGAUUCAGAAGACAGGAACACACAUACUGAAGCCUGACUGGGUUUCUGUGACCUUGGGCAAGUCACCUAACAACUCAGUUUCCUCAUCUGAAGAAUGAGGAUCAUCAUAAUACUAGUUCAUAAGGUUGUGGGGGUGAUGCAUGUGAGCACUGUGUAGGGGUUUGCUGUCCUUACCAGUACUCUCCUUAUUCUCAGUCAUCUCCAGCCAUGCAACUUCCCUCACCUCCUGACUGAUGAUGGUCAGUCGGCCCAUGCCUGCCUUCACAAUGUACAACCCUGAAGACCCAGAAGUUGGUUUUGUCCAUUCCCAUGGCUAGGAUGCCAAGUGUUAUUAGGGGAAAAUGAACCCUUCUUGGUGUGUUGGACAGACUCACUAUGAUACCUGUUCUUUGGAACAGUCACCAGUACACAGAGAUGGGCUGCCAGUGAGCCCUUGUGCUCUGGCUGUAGCUGAUUGUCUAGGAGUGAACAUGUAGCCUAGGCUGGGCCCAUCAUUCCAUCUCCCAGGAAACUGAAUCUGGAAUGGAGGCCUUGACUCGAUCCUGAUCAAUGGCAGAACUUGGGAGAAAGAAUCUCUGACUUCUUGAUGCCAAGUCCCCAGGGACUGCCCUGCCAACCUCGCUUCUCCUGGCUUCUGCUGAGAUACCCCUAUGUCUUUCCAAUAAAUUCCUCUCUCCUCAUACCCUGGUCAGAGUGCACCUCUACCUUUCACAGACCAAAGGAACCUCAGCUGAGGUUGCCAAGAAACAAUGACAGUGAGGUCUUGCACAGAGCCACACUAUUUGAUUUCAGAUGACUUGUCUGUCACUACAGCCCAGCACUUACUGAUCAUCUCUUUUUGACUCCCUGGGACUUUCACCACAGCAGCAGUGGUUUAAAAUUUUCUCCACUCAGGCCUCACCCGACCCUCCUCCACCUCUUCACCUGCUCUUUAGGGCAGUGGUUCUCAACCCUGGCUCCACACUGGAAUCACCCCCAGGGUGCCUGAAAAAUCCUGGUGCCUGGGUCUCAGUGGGUCCUGAUGGGGUGGAGACUGGCCUGAGUUAUUUUCAUUUGUACCCUGGAUAUAGUCCUCUCCCAGUCAGACCAAGACUAUUCUACACAAGCCCCUUCAGCCUUCCGCCUCUCCCUCCAACAGUUUUUACUUUCUAAACCCUUUUUCCCUUCCAUCCAGGUUUAGAGGAUGGCGUGCACCUGCAUUUUGCCAAGACAAGGCCUAAACUGAAGAAGGUGGCCAAUCCUGUCCCUGUCUUCAAUCCCCAGCACCACACGCACACAUUCCUUGGGAAUCACUGGCCUCUCCUCCUUCCAUUUAUUUCCUCAGGCUCCUCAGAGGAGCAGGCUGCAGCCUAAAGAUUCUAUUAUGUGCUAAACCAAGUUAGGAAGCACUAAAGAAUAUAUUUAUCCUCCUGGGCAUAACAUGAUUUAAUCAUUGUAAUUAAGAGUUUUUAAUGAACAGAAAAUGUAAAUAAUAAGAAUAAGAAUAGAAAACAUGUAGUAAAGCACUUACUAUCUGUCAGGCACUGUCCUAUGCACUUUUCAUAUAUAUCUUACCUAAAUCUCCAAGCACCCUGUGAGACAGGAGCUGUUAUUGCCACCUUACUGGUAAAGAAACUGAGUUAUCGCAAGGCUAAGGAGCUUGCCCAAGGACAUAUAGCUGGAAUGUGAUGGAGCUGGGAUGCAAGAAGAUUAUAAUAAACAUUUAGAAAUAGGGCAUUGUAUUUUAUUUAAGAAACAGAUACAUAAAUGUUUUGUUUUCAACUUAAAUGGUUUUUUACAUAUGGUUAACUCUAAGUUUGAUUUUUUAAGUGGCAGUAUGGCCAGGAUUUUAAAAUUAAAGCAGAAAUUAAACAGCUGCUGUCCCUUAGACUACAAUCACUUAUUUCUGUAGUAAUAGCCUUUUUCUUAAAAAAAAAAAAAAAAAAAAAAAGAGAGAGAAUGUAGGAGGGUAAUUGACAGCAUUUUAUAGUCAGUGUGGAGGCCAAAAAUUAUCCAACCUAGUCAUGUCAUAUGCUAAUGUUGAUUAAAUUUAAUGCUGAGAUUUUUCAGCAAGUGAAAAAAAAUUCAAUCUAUUUGUUUCAACCUAAGAGAGACCAUUUAUGGAAUUCUUGCUGUUUGUAAUUGACCACUAUUAGAGAAGGAACUGUGUAAUGCAGCUGCCCUCUGUGAUUAUUUUCUGCUUUCCUUAAUAAAUUACAAUUUACAGUAGCACUCACUAGGAGCACUGUUUGCCGCCCCAGUCUGCAUGGGCAGACGGCAGAAUCACCAAAUGAGCACCAGCAAGGUUGAGAUGAGGCCACCGCGUGCCCACCAUCAUAACCAGUUCACCCAAGUGACAAACAAGCCGAAGCUACCACCUUGGCUAAAAAAAGAAAUUGACUGCUGCUCAAUUAAGCAGAAAUGAGACUGUCACUCAGGGGGGUGGACACUGAGAAUUGCCUUAUUUAGUGCUCAAUAGCAAUUUGGGUUUUUGGAAGUUAUUUUACAGUUGUAAUUACAAAGGGAAAUGAAGUCUGCUUUUGCAGUGUUACCAGGUGCUCUUCCUUCCAUUAUAACCUUGAUGAAUAGCCCCCCAGAGCAAACACACUGGCUGCUCUGCUAACUGGUUUUAUUAUGCAAGUACAGGAUUAAAAGGAAUGCCAUUCAGUUGAGGCAGCAUCUUAAGACCUGGGGACGUCUGUCCCCAUGUAAAACUUCUGGUGAAUGAUUUAAACUAUCUCUACUAGGCCAACAUCCUUUUAAGCUAAGAAAACCACAUUCUAAUCUAGACAUUUGAUAUAAAAAUUAGAUUUCAUGAAAUAGCAUAAACGUAUUGUCGUUAGCUCUUCUCUGCCAUGGAAUCACUGGAGACAAAUGUGAUCAUGUGACAAGGUCCAGGUCCUGAGCUGGCGCAAGAGAGCAGAACUCAGGCUCCACUUCUAACUUUCUAUAGUCAGACCUCAGGGCACACCCUUCACUUUUCUGUGCUCCACUUUUCCCUCCUGUUAAACGGGGUUUUCUAAACGGAAUACUUGUAAGGAGGGCUACUGAGAGAGAUGCUGUGGAAGCAGACCACAGCAGAGUCACGGACUCCUAGAAUGUUGGCGGGGACUUGAGCAGCCAUCCUGUCCAGCCCCCUCUUUGACAGUGGAGGGAACUGAGGCUGGAAGGAGGAGUGACUGCCCAAGGCCACACAGCCACUUUAGUGUAGGGCCAGAGAGGGAAGCAGAUCUCCGAGUCACAGGCCAAGAGCCUCUCCAGGAAAACUUCGAAGCUGAGUGGAAUUCAAUGCAAAAGUCACAACUUCCACCUUAUAUCUGACACACAGUGGGUUGCACAGCAAUCACAGCCUCGAUCUCAGCAAGAAUGCUAGCUGAUGGCCAAAUGAUCAGGAUAUUCCCUCUUGAAAUGGGCAUGAUUGCUGUGCCUAUGUUAAAGAGGGAACCAAUGACAGGACAUAAUUAUUAAGCAUGUGCCAUCUGUCAAGUGCUGCCCUGAUCAGUAAGCUUGCAGAUGGGAUCCCCAUCUCCCCCAAACAAAUGAGGAGAAUGAGAUCCUUCCAUUCCCUUCUGCCUAAAAGUUUCCUCUAAAGCACAGACACAACAAUGGAACUAACCAAUGAAUCUGUGUCUUCCAAGUAUUCCGGAAACUCUACACCUCUGGUGGCCUGAGUGGGAAACCACUUGCAAGAGUUGGGUUGGUGAGCUAAGAGCUAACCUUCUGACCCUGGCAAUAAACAAAUAGUAAAGUUGUCUUUUGCUAGUCAGUACAAAACUCCCUCUCACUGCUCUAAAAACCAUUUGGAAUUGGUCCAACUUGCAUAUCUGUUGGAUGUUUAAGAAAUAGAUUAAGAGGUCAACAGAGAAAACAAGGCAUCUCCAGAUGGUUGUCUAAAUGGACAAUGGUAAGAAGAAAGGAGUGGAGGGGCUAGGGAGUUCAUUGUGGUGGAACAAAAAGGGGCUAAUCAGAUCACGGAAGCAGAGAGAAGCCCAGAGUCACCAGUGGAGGGAGCCUGCGAUUUUUAGGAUUUGUUAAAUCGAGAGUCAUGGAAAAUUCAAGUCAACAGGAUUAAACUAUAUUGGGCAGUGCUUCUUGAACUUUAAAGUGCACAUUAAUUAGCUGGGGAUCUUGUUAAAAUGCCGAUUCUGACUCAGGAAGUCUAGGAUGGGACCUAAAAUUCUGCAUUUCCACAAAGCUCCCAGGUAAUGCUGAUGCUACUGGUCCUCAGACCACACUUACUGGAGUAUUUAAGUCCAUGUGACUGACAAGACAGCUGUAGAGGUAGGCUCCAGGAUACUCAGUCCAGAGGCUCAAUCUCAUCCUUGAGGACCCAGUUUAUUUCCAUUUCUCUGCACUGCUGGCUACAGCUUUGGCUACAGCCAAACAAUGUUUCAUCUAGUGCUCAUGUAACAGCUUCCAGUUGUAAUCUGAGCUACUGGCCUCUUCAUUCUCAUCCGGUGAGAGAAUGCCAAGCAGAGCUCUGGGAAUUCACCCUAACUGGACCAGCUUAGGUCAUAUGCCCACCCAUGAGCCAGUCACUGUCAGAGGAACGGGCUAUGCGAAGUUUGCUUAUGCUCAUCAGGCCCCAUUCCUUGAGUUGGGCAAGGGAGGAGGUUACCCUCAAGCACAAGGGCUUUGUGGGCAAGAGGUGGCUGCCAGAUGAAAAAAUUGGGUGCUGUAGGAAGUAGUAUGGAAGAAUGAACACUGGGUAUUUUCAGUUAAUGAUCCUUUGGUUAUGGUGGUUGGUAAAAAAUGUGAGCAUUAGCGACAUCCCUUGCCAGUCUUGGGUCUUUGGAUGCCCCUAAGCUUUCACUUUGUGUGUGCAAGAUCAUAUUGAGGACUUCACACCCACAAAGGUGUCUGCUAGUGUCACCCACCUACAUCCACCCACACAUACACACUUGUAAACCCCUGGUUAAAGUGGAUGAAAAGGGCUAAGGUCAUCUGUGUUUCAUGAAUGAAAUCUGUUUGCCAGCAUCCUUCUGUACUGUGGACCUCCUUCCGUGCCUCCACCAUUUCCAUUGUCCUGGUACAAGAUCCAAAUGUGUUCUUGGGACCCCAGUAAAGUGUACUUACCCUGUGUUUCAUUUUCCAGGGUGACAACUAGCUGAUCUGAUAACCUGCUUGAUAUCAUGUGUGCCCAGUGGUAAAAUGUGUUACUUCUCCCAAAGGGAUCAUGCUUAGGUUUUAAACUGGUGUCCUCUGCAGCCUCAGCAUCUUGAAUCAAAGGAUUGAGCCCAAUAAUGGGAAUUCAGGCAUCAUGACAGACUCCAGUGGGAAGACAUUUGGGGACAAAGGAGCUUUUGGAGCCCCUUAGGCCACAGUAUGUUGGCAGCCAUGUGUCCUCACCCAGAGGGAAGGGUAGCCAAGAUUGAAGAGAAAAUGCACUUCCAGUUUAAAGGCUAUUUUUCACAGGGGCACAUUCUCUAAUAGAAACACACACACACCGUGACAUAAAAAAGCAUGUUGCUCACGCCUCUAUUUAUUACUGUUACUUUCAGUAUUUAUUUAUUUUCUAUUUUCUAUUUCUGAUAGAACCUCAUAAGAUAAAGUCAAAAUUGGCCAGGCGUGGUGGCUCAUGCCUGUAAUCCCAGCACUUUGGGAGACCAAGGCAGGCGGAUCACCUGAGGUCAGGAGUUCAAGACCAGCCUGACCAACAUGGAGAAACCCCGUCUGUACUAAAAAUAGAAAAAUUAGCCGGGUGUGGUGGUGCAUGCCUGUAAUCCCAGCUACUCAGAAGGCUGAGGCAGGAGAAUCACUUGAACCCAGGAGGUGGAGGUUGCAGUGAGCCGAGAUCGUGCCAUUGCAUUCCAGCCUGGGUAACAAGAGUGAAACUCCAUAUCAAAAAAUAAAUAAAUAAAUAAGGUCAAAAUUAAAAAUUAAAAGAGUGUUUUGAGGAUGACAUCAUUUUGUCUGUACAUUCUAUCAGAUAUCCAUUGAAGUAGCCAAGGUAGCCAGCUGCAUUAGGGCUGGGACCCUGCCAGGUCUCCCUAGAGAGGCCAGGAACAAGGAUACUGAGGGUCUCCUGUGUAGUUACCUCAUCAGCUCUGACUUGGGAUCCAGAAGGACCCCGUGCCAAGCAGGAGUUAGAAUGAUCUUUGUACCCCAAGUCAUCCUGCACUUUUCUUUGUCCCCCUAAGCUGGCGAGAAAACUAUUUAGAUUUCCAUUUUAAAAUGUGGUAAGUUUUGCUUCACACUGGUUUAAAUUAUUGCAUAUUAGACCAGUAAGAGAAGAGUUUCAGAUAUAAGUUGAGAUCCUAAAACAUUCCCAGAAUCUGCCUCCGCAGUAAGCUGUCAAAGGUGCUAUUUUGUUCAGAAAACUACUGGAGGUAAUUUUCAGUUCUUAGAUCUGGCUGAGGGCAUAUUAUAAAAAGUUAAGAGUUGAAGGAGGAGACAGUUUUUGUCUUCUUUCCUCAAAAUGGACAGUAUUCUAUUGAAAAGACACAGGAGCUCAUGUGAUUCCCAAAGCUCCAGUGAGUGUUAGUUUGGGGCCUUUCUUCUUCUGCCCUGGAGAACAGAAGGGAGGCCUGGAGCAGUGGGCCAUAGGGAAGUUUCCUUUCUUACUCCAAGAAGUGCAGUCAGCUGCGCCUGCCAGGAAGCUGUUAGGAUGGGAACUUUAUCUUCGGGGAGUGCUUAUACCUUUCUAGCUGUGGAUACAACUGUACACAGGAGGAAAGAGUCAAGUGUAACUCCCUAUGAAAGAAAAAAAAUUUAAAGAUAAGAACUAAGAGAUGGAUACUGAAUUGUUCCUAGAUACAUAUUUUAAACUCUUGCUUUCAUAAAACCAGUCUCUAAAAUGACAUUUAAUAAGGGAAGACAGCUGCCUUAGAGGGCCAGAGGCUUGGGCUUUGGUGCCAUUUCUGCUGUUUACUGCUGUGUGCCUUUAGAAAGGCCACUUAACCCAGUAGAGUGACCAGCUCAUCCUGAUUUUUAUGCUGAAAGUCCCAUGUGCCUGGAAACCCC
rnacentral:lncRNA from 1 species